CCACGGCGACUUUGCUCGGGCAGGGACGAACGUGAACCGUCCGAUUGGAUCGACCGGCCGGGCCGACCUCGUGCCGCUCAAUGCGCUGGCGCCGUUGCGGGCCUCGCGCAAUUUUCCGGCCCAGUUUGUGUGUGCUGCGCUAAAGCCUGUUAUGGCCGCAUGCGGCCUGUUCGUAGGAGUUUCUGAUUAGUGAUUUCGUCAAGAAAGGGAACUCUCGUCUCUGCUCACCCACGGUUCUCGCUCUUCCUCUUCCAACUGCUGCUGCCAUUUCUUCACUCGGCGAUGGUUCCCCCUGCUCCUGAUCGGUCUGGACGGCGUCGUCGGGGUCGCCCUCCUGGGAUUCGGGCGGCCGUUAUUGCCCGUGUGCGCCGUGCCGGUAUGCGUCUUCCUCCUGCGGAUCCGGGCUGAAUGGCGGCAGCGCGGGCGUGAUCGCAAGACAACGCAGGUCCACCAUGGAGCCACGCUAUACUGCUCCUCUGUCCAACCUAGCGUCGCUGCUCCCAUGCAAUGGAGGUGUCGAGCAGUGUCGCCUGCGGCGUCCAUGUGAUCGUGGCCGCGAGCAGCUGAGUAUCACUGCUCACGGAGAGGACGCUGAGAAUCACGCGUGGGAGGAAGAUCGUAUGGCCGUCCGAAGGGUCGGCAAGGACGGCGACGCCGCAGCAGAGGCCGUGCCUGAGCCCUGAGGCGACCCAGGAGAAGAGCGACACGCAGCUCCAAACUGGGCAACAGGGCUCGACCCGUCCUCAGUUUGGGGCCGUCGCACUCCUACUCCACGCGCGCCUCCUUCCCGCGAUGCGCCUCCAAGCGGAUUAGCAUCGGCCGCCGAGACCCGAGAGCUCGGAAGCGGCCCGUCGAGGUUCGACGCGUCCUCUCUUUAUGUGCUUCUCGCAGUCGUCGCGGGGCGCGCUGUAUGUAUUCCUUCCUCUUCUCACGACGUGCACCUCCUUCUCUUGUUGAUCUUGCUCAACAUACUACACGCGCAGUUCUUCGCCGUGUACGUCGGCCACGGUGACGUCCAGGUCGUCGAAUACCGCGCUACACUCCGCGCUCGCCGAGAAGCUGUGUGCCACAAAGGACCGCAUCAGCGCCUCCGAUGGUGAGCUCUCUAGACUCUAAGAAGCAGCGGGAGAAGACGUUAUUGGACUGUUUCUGCCGUGUAGACGCUGCGGCCGAGGCGCCGGUGUUCUCGACCUCGAGCUCGCCCAACCGGCCGGCGCCUGGAACCCAUCCAACCCGGCUCUAGCAUACGCACGCCGUGUCGACCUCUUGCACGCUAGGACGCCGGCGCCCCGUCGAAGAUGACGCGAGGAGGCGAUCCUGAACCGCAGGACGGCGCUCGCGCCCGCUGCCGCUGCGUGGCGUGCGUUGCGGCUCGCGUGCUGCCCCUGCAUCGUCUAUGAUGCGUAGGUGCUAGGUUUGGAUGUGCGCAGUGUGCAGUGCGUUGGGUGCUGCCCCUGAAGUUCUCUGCAAGACUGCAAGAAGUUCAGUUUAGAAGCGUACAUGGAAAUGUCUGCAAGAAGUUCAGUUCGGAAACGUACAUGGAAAUGUUAAAAAUUCAGAAUGUUCAGAACAAAGCAAAACAGAGAAGCAAGAGAAGGAGUACAAGAUUUGUGCUAGCGCUCAGUCAUAUGCUCCACAAUCUUGCUUACUAAAUAAUGUUCAGAUUAUUGUAACUCUUGCAUCAAAAAGGCCUUUACUAUAUUAACCAUGUAUAAUUUUCAUAUAUCAACAGUUAAGUUCUUAAAACUCUAUGAAACAAACCCCUAUACAACACAGAAUUACAACUGUUAAGACUUUCAAGGUGAUCUUACUAUGCUACACCGAGCUUUCAAGGUGAUCUUACUACGCUACACCUAGCUGAUUUAGCGCUACUUUUUGCAUGCCAUUCUUUGAUGAUUAUUCAUUUGUUGGCCAAUGGUAUUCUGUGAAAAUUUGUUGCUGCCGAGUUUCUGUUCUGGGGAUUUUUCAAAAAAAUUACCUUCCACCAGACUAAACUAUGAUUGACAUUUCUUUCAAAAAAAUACUGGGUCCCGUGUGGUUUGUUCUCGGCACCGGCCGGGAUGGUGGGUGGGCCGAGGGUGAGUGGUGUCCGGCAGCGGAAUUGACGCGCUGCCGCGGCCGUGUCACACUUGUGUCCAGAUUUGAAGCGCAGUCCCGGAUGUGCGACGUCGUGGAGGCUCUUGAGCAGCUGCUGGCGCUCGACGACGACGUGCCCACUUUCAGAUUACUUAAUUUAUUUAGUCAUAUUUAGCUCUCUUUGUUUGCUGCACAUUCCCAAUUGCUUUGCUCAUUCACUUCUAUAGUAGGAUAGGUGAAGGCAUGCCUUAAGAAGCAAAAGAGAGACUUAACGAAGUUGGCGCAGACGUGGCUUCCGCUUGAAAACCAGCUACAUGUUACUCAUUGAAUCGCAAAUCCCAUAAAAUUUGCCUCUAUCGUAUGUGGAUAUUUUUUGUUUUGUACGAUUUAAAUUCAAAUUGGCUUCCUCACUUACAAAUGCAAAUACAGUCUGGUGUUUUUUUAGGGAUACAGCCUGGUGUUAGAAGCAUGUGAGUUGUCUGUUUGAACCAAGUUGGACGUAGAAACAAUGCGCGAGAAAAAAAAUAUUAGAGCAUCUCCAAUAGCUAUCUUAUUUUUGUCCCUCGAAAAAAAGACCUCAUAUUUGUCGUGCGGUGUGGGGAGCAUUUGCUUUUCGUUUUGUCACCCGUGCAAGCAUGCGAUGGUCAUCUGUGAUUUUCGUUGAUGAUUGGUUUCACCAACGUCAGGUCUAUUUUCUCCUCUUCUUGUGAUAUUAUUUGGAUUCCUUGAAAAUUUUGUGGAACUGCUAUUUGUAAUUCUGGAUAUGCUCGGUGGUAGGCUCCAUGUAUGCAUGCAGCUAGCGUUGUGCGGCAUGAUUUUUUUUUUGUCAAAUUGCAUUCGGGCGGAAGGAAAUUGGUUGCUUCCUUUUUCGUCGCUGCUGAGUUGCAUGCGGUGGUCGACUGUAGAUUUCGGGCUGAUGUGACUACGUGCAUUAGGUUAAUUGUGAUGUGACUUUGCGCGUGGGAACCGGAGAUUUUUUUUCUCUUUCCUGCAAAGAAAAAGGAUUUUUUUCAAGAUUUUUUUUGUUGACCAAUGUAGGCGGUUUGCUUUUUUGGUUGCAUCUAAGCAGCUGCUGGGCCUGGUAGAGAAGUGAGCUUUGUGACUUUUAGUAGGGUUGUCUGUUGUUGCAGGUGCUGGCGCACACUCUACGGUAGGUUUUUUUUCUCAGCCGUUUUUCUUCCUUCCCUCUGUUUGCAUUUAUGAGCAUUUAGUGGUAUUGACACAUAUGCAUUGUUCUUGACUUGAAUCUCUCAACAAAUUAUCCAAGUGAUCUAAAACUUUAUCAUGUUAGUAAAAUAUGUAUUAUUCGAUUUUUUUUAAAAUCAAAUGUUUCUAUAAACUUUGAAGUUCCUGUCAAUUAAAAGUUUGAAAACAUAAAUCUCUCAAACCAAUGGUCCAACCAAACUGAAACUUUCCCACAUCAGUCAUAUAUGUAUUCUACAAUUUAUGAAUUUCUUUUCAAAUAUUUCUAAAAAGAUUGGAAUUUCUAUACAAGUUUCACCACAACACAUUCAAAAGGACGCAUGGGCAUGGCUACUGAAAAUUUGGACACUGUGAUUACAAUGAUGAAGGUGAGAGAUACAAUUACUAUGAUGUAAGCCAGAAAUAAAUGUACCGUGUUUAGUCUUGUUAGAAAAGUGUCAAUGUGUACUUCCUGUCAUCUCUAAAAUGCAUCAUACAUGGUGACAAUAAAUGUGCCUUUUUCAGUUUGCUUCUAUGCAUUACCUCCCUUUCUUUGAUCACAACAUUAUCCACAUAUUCUGUUACUUUGAAAUUCAUUGCAUACAACGAAAACAUCACCUAUAAACAUCACGUAUCAAUGGACGCGGAAUUGCACAACUACUACGCCCUUGAAGUCACAAAGGAAAGAUUAUUUAUGGCAAAAGAGAAAGCACAAAUCAAACAAUGGCAGUUCAACAUGGCCUGUCAGCAGGUUAGCUACAAUUGAAAACGAGUUCACAAGGCAAACAAUAAUUCUAGCAAAAGUAUGCAACAACUUCUUUGAUGUAUUACCACUCCACAUGUAUCCUCAGCGCCCACACAGUGAGGAUCCUAUUAUCACAUACACAUGCGCGCACCCUCCUGUCGGACAUGUCCAAGCAUUUGCAAAAUCACUGUACCACUUUCUCACAGGCACCAAUCCUGCAGGAGGAUAUACUACUAUACCAGGAUGAUCUAAUGCAUCAGCAACUGCUUCUCGCUUAUUUAUGUAGUGUGUUUGUGUUUCUAUAAACAGUUUUUCUAGCUCAUUUAUGUAGUGUGUUUGUGUUUCUAUAAACAGUUCUCUGCCUACAGUGAACUGUAUGUAUUUUGAAUAACUAUAGUGUGCCACUUUUAAUUUGUAUCUUUGUAUCCCUACAUUUACAAAAUAUCAAUAGCUUCAUAUGUUCGGUUUCUUCAAUACCUUUAUAUAUUAUUCUGAGAUUAAAUAUGCGUGCACCAAUCCAAAAUUUGAAUCAAUAGAUUGCACAUUUGCGAGUGAUCACCGAGCGCGGCGUGCCGCCGCGCGGGUUAGGCUAGUCACAAACUAAACUGUUUGAAUUUUUUUUACUCAACUGGCCCUUUUGUGCAACGCCCGACAGUCAGGCGCUGCACUUCACUGUGCAGCGCCUAUCUACCGGGCGCUGCACACUUGGUCAACGUGGCACAUCUGGGCCCCGUACCGAGCAGUGCAGCGCCUUGGUUCUAGGCGCUGCACUGUGACUUUGAAACCACCGCGCGCUGGACGUCCCCCCACCCCACCCCAUUCAUUCUACUUUAUAGAACAGAGCGCGGAGGCGGCUUCCUCCUCUCCCUCUCUCAAUCCUCUAUCCCGCCACCACCUUCCUUGAGUUGUCUGAGGCAUCGCUUAUGUGUCCUCUGGUGGUGGUGAUGUGUUGGAAAAAGGAAGGAGCUCUUUAGCGGCUGUUGUAAUUUUGCUAGUAGGCCUUUGGCCCAAAGCCCAACUAAAAUUCUGAAAUUCUCUUGGUCCAUUCAUGCACACAUGUGAGUGGAGUGAGUGAGGCUAAAGUUUAGUCCCACCCUGGAAGUUGAGAGAGAGUUGCACCUCUUUAUAAGGUGAGCUCUUCUACCACUUUUAUGAGCAUGAGAAGAGAAGACCUACACGCGCGCUCCUCCUCCUCGCUUGCCUCGCCACGCCACACCACGCCACGCCUUUAUGUGACCGGAGAUCCCGUGAAGUAGAAGUGGGAGACAAGCUGUUGGUCAGCUGGGAGGAGAGUAUCCCUAUAUUACCUAUCCUACUCCAUGAAGAUGCAAUACUCUCUUGAUCUGCAUGGCAGGUUGAUACUUAUCUUAAUGUGUUCCAAGUGGCUUAUUCGGGUAAGCAGAGAUGUUGUCCUGCAGAAUAUCUUCUGAGGAACACACCUAUAUGAAUUUGACUGUUAACGUCGCAGUCUGUGAGAAUUGGAUGUUCUCUAAUAAAUUCAUGAAAAGGCCCUGGAGUACGACGUAUACGCUCCACCCGCGGGGAAGCUUUGCGGAAGCCCAGUAUCGGUCAAGAAUUUGUGUGAAACUAGUCUCGCAGAAAACUUGUAGUUCAAGGCAUAGUCCACUAUUCAAAUUGUGAUCUAGUGUAGCAUAAAUCUCUAAGUGGAAGUUCAACUUCACAGUCUCUAGUAAGCACCGGUAUAUAAACAAUGUUUUGGAACUAAAUGAUGAGAUGUGCCAAUGAGACUUUGUGGGGGAUUGUUGGAAUUUUGCUAGUAGGCCUUUGGCCCAAAGCCCAACUAAAAUUCUGAAAUUCUCUUGGCCCAUUCAUGCACACAUGUGAGUGGAGUGAGUGAGGCUAAAGUUUAGUCCCACCCCGGAAGUUGAGAGAGAGUUGCACCUCUUUAUAAGGUGAGCUCUUCUACCACUUGUAUGAGCAUGAGAAGAGGAGACCUACACGCACGCUCCUCCUCCUCGCUCACCUCGCCACGCCACGCCACGCCACGCCACGCCACGCCACGACAUGCCGCGGGUUGCGGGAUUGAGCCGAGCCGAGGACAGAGCUAUGCACGUUGUCUAUAUUUUUGCUGCUCGGGAAAAAUUGACGCGUUAAUUACUGAACCGUUCCCGAUUCUUUUGGAUCGUGAUGACUCGGACGUGGGGUUUACUCCCACGACCUACCCGACCCGCACUAUAUAGUCAGGCAGACGUCUACCCUAGCCGCCGCCGCUUCGUAUGGUUUCUCACCACCAUUCCAGAUCAUUGCGCCGCCAAGCAAGUCUUCUCCAUCCCUCCUUUCGGCGUGCACCGAGAGAAGGGACAGCAGGCCUCCGGAACCCCGCCUCUCGUGAUCCUGCACAGGAGAGGGGCGAUCAGGUUUUUGGGGAGCGCACUCGCGCGACUGCUGGCAGCGACGACUUCGCGAACAACGACUUCUUCCCCGACCUCGGCAACCUCAUCCUCGACGACAUGGGCGACAAUGUCAACGCCGGCGGUGCUGCACUCGCUGCACCGUAUGUUAUUCUAUCCUUCUUAUUCCAGAUCAUGGUAGAAUUCAUGUUUCUAGUAUGUGCCCUAGAUGUGAUCUGUUCAUCUACUAUGCUAGUUCGCAUGAUUAGUUUAAUCUCUGCUAUUGCUAUCAUGAUCUACUUCCUAUUUAUUCGGAUUAAAUCUCGUAGUAACUUGCUCAUAUUUCCAAAAAUCCAAAAACCUGAUUAUAGGCAAUUAACUCCGAGUGGUUUUGCUGCGCAUCUGAAGCUGCCUGCCUUUAAGGGGGCGCAAUAUAAGAGGUGGCGCACGAGAGUAGUCUACUGGUUUCAGACCAUGGGCUGCUAUGACGCCACCAAGGGCAAGCCUGAGGCGAUCUUAAUCCAGCACAGCUGGAAGCUUUCGAGAAGAUCGAUACCCUCUUUAAAGGCGCUCUUCUGAGUGUUCUUGAUGACUCCAUUAUGGAUUCGUAUAUGUCGUUUGAGAACAGCAAGGACAUGUGGGCUGCGCUCGAGGCCAAGUUUGGUGCCUCGGACGCCGGCAGCGAGUUGUACGUCAUGGAGCAAUUCUAUGACUACAAGAUGACUGAUGAGCGCCCUGUUGUACAGCAGGCUCAUGAGAUACAGUCGCUCGCAAAAGAACUUGAGUACUUCAAGUGUGUGUUGCCGGAAAAAUUUGUUGUCAGAGGCAUCAUUGCCAAGCUUCCACCUUCGUGGAACAAUUUUGCUACUUCCCUGAAACACAAGAGACAGGAGUUUUCCGUUGCGGAUCUCAUUGGUACUCUUGAUGUUGAAGAGAAGCCGAGAGCAAAGGACACAUGUGCUCGAGUUGCCGAGGGAGGUUCUAGUGCCCACAUGGUACAGAAGAAGAACUCCCAGCCCAACAAGUUCAAAAACAAUAAGAACAAAACUCAGGGCAAAGGCAAGUUUGAUACAAAGAACAAGCCAUCACAUUCUACCAACUUCAAGAAGAAUUCUCAUAAGAAGGGGAAGGGACUUUGCCAUGUCUGCGGUGAUCCUAAUCACUGGGCUCCAAAGUGUCCUAACCACUUUGAGGAGCGCGAACAUGAGAAGAGCGGCAAGUCCGCUAAUGUUGUCAUCGGUGAUAUUGAUAUGAAGGAAUCAGGAUACGGUAUUUUUCCUACCAUCCUUUCAGUAUUUCAAUCCCCUGAUUGGUUAAUUGACACUAGUGCCAAUGUACAUGUUUGUGCUGACGCCUCCAUGUUUUCUUCUUACCAGGCAACAGGGACUUCACCCGUGCUGAUGGGGAACGGGUCACAUGCCAUCGUUCCAGGUGUUGGUACGGUCGAUCUGAAGUUUACUUUGGGGAAGAUUGUGCGUCUGAAGAAUGUUCAUCAUGUGCCGUCCAUAAAUAAAAAUAUCGUUAGCGGUUCCCGUUUAUGUCGAGAUGGUUUUAAGUUGGUUUUCGAAUCCAAUAAAGUUGUAAUUUCUAUGUAUGGACAAUUUGUUGGAAAAGGCUAUAAGAGCGGAGGCUUGUUCUGCCUGUCUUUGUCAGAUAUUUGCACUAAAGUUAUUAAUAAUGUUUGCCACAACAAUGAGUCUGAUAUUUGGCAUUCACGGCUUUGUCACAUUAACUUUGGUUGCAUGACGCGGCUAGCCAAUAUGAAUUUAAUUCCAAAAAUCUCUACUGUCAAAGGCUCUAAGUGCCAAGUAUGUGUGCAAGCUAAGCAACCUCGCAAGUCCCAUAAGACUGCAGAGGCAAGAGACUUGACGCCACUAGAGCUUAUACAUUCUGAUCUUUGUGAGAUGAAUGGCGUGUUGACAAAAGGUGGAAAGAGAUACUUCAUGACGUUGAUUGAUGACUCCACUAGAUAUUGUUAUGUGUAUCUUCUGAAAUUAAAAGAUGAGGCUUUGCCUUUCUUCAAAAACUAUAAAGCUGAGGCAGAGAACCAACUUGAUCGAAAAAUUAAACGGCUUAGGUCCGAUCGUGGUGGAGAGUAUUUUUCCAAUGAAUUUGAUCUGUUUUGUGCGGAACAUGGUAUAAUCCAUGAGAGGACGCCUCCCUACUCACCCCAGUCAAAUGGGGUAGCCGAAAGAAAGAACCAAACUCUAACUGAUAUGGUUAACACCAUGUUAGACACUUCGGGUCUAUCCAAGGAAUGGUGGGGGGAGGCGCUAAUGACUGCGUGUCAUGUCCUAAACCGAGUUCCCACAAAGCAUAAGACCAUGACUCCAUUUGAGGAAUGGGAAAGGAAAAUGUUGAAACUCUCUUACCUACGUACUUGGGGUUGUUUGGCGAAAGUCAAUAUACCAAUUCCCAAGAAGCGCAAGCUUGGACCAAAAACCGUGGAUUAUGUUCUUCUGGGCUAUGCUUUUCAUAGCAUCGGCUAUAGAUUUCUGAUAAUAAAAUCUAAGGUAUCCGACAUGCAUGUUGGUACGAUUAUGGAUUCGAAUGAUGCAACUUUGUUUGAGGACAUAUUUCCUAUGAAGGAUAUGUCGAGUUCAUCAAAUCAGGAGAUACCUACUCCAUCUAGUGAGGAAUUCACUGUAAUUCCUGAACCCACCAUUGCGAUGGAACACAUUGAGAAUCCUGUUGAGGGUGACAAUGGAACUCCCGUGAGGAGUAAGAGACAGAGGACUGCAAAGUCCUUUUGUGAUGAUUUCAUUGUGUACCUCGUGGAUGACACACCUAGGACGAUUUCAGAAGCCUAUGCAUCUCCUGAUGCUGACUACUGGAAGGAAGUUGUAUGUAGCGAGAUGGAUUCCAUCUUAGCUAACGGUACCUGGGAGAUCACUGACCGUCCUUAUGGGUGCAAACCUGUAGGAUGUAAGUGGGUGUUCAAGAAGAAGCUUAGACCUGAUGGUACGAUUGAAAAGUACAAGGCACAGCUUGUGGCCAAGGGUUAUACCCAGAAAGAAGGUGAAGACUUCUUUGAUACUUACUCACCCGUGGCUACACUGAUCACAAUUCGGGUGCUACUAUCACUGGCUGCCUCACAUGGUCUUCUCGUUCAUCAAAUGGAUGUUAAGACAACUUUCCUUAAUGGAGAGUUGAAGGAGGAAAUUUACAUGGAUCAGCCAGAUGGUUUUGUAGUACCUGGUCAGGAAGGAAAGGUGUGCCAGUUAUUAAAGUCUUUAUAUGGCCUUAAACAAGCUCCUAAAUAGUGGCAUGAGAAGUUCGAAAGAACAUUAAUUACUUUUGGCUUUGUAGUAAACGAUGGUGACAAGUGCGUGUACUAUCGCUAUGGUGGGGGCGAAGGAGUUAUUCUUUGUCUGUAUAUCGACGACAUAUUGAUCUUUGGAACCAAUCUUGAUUUAAUCAAGGAGGUUAAGGAUUUAUUAUCUCGCUGUUUUGAGAUGAAGGAUCUAGGAGUAGCUGAUGUUAUCUUAAACAUCAAGCUGUUGAGAGAUGAGAAUGGUGGGACCACACUGCUUCAGUCUCACUAUGUGGAAAAGGUCUAGAGUCGUUUUGGGUAUAGCAACUGCACGCCUUCUCCAACUCCAUAUGAUGCUAGUGUGUUGCUUCGAAAGAAUCGACGAAUUACUAGAGAUCAACUAAGGUAUUCUCAGAUUAUUGGCUCGCUUAUGUAUUUGGCGAGUGCCACGAGGCCUGACAUCCCUUUUGCUGUCAGCAAGAUGAGUCGGUUUGUGUCAAAACCAGGAGAUGAUCAUUGGCAUGCGCUUGAGAGAGUUAUGCGCUAUUUGAAAGGCACCGCGAGCUAUGGGAUUCACUACACCGGGUAUCCAAGGGUAUUGGAGGGUUAUAGUGACUCAAACUGGAUAUCUGAUGCUGAUGAGAUUAAGGCCACAAGUGGUUAUGUUUUUACACUUGGUGGUGGCGCUGUUUCCUAGAAGUCUUGCAAGCAGACCAUCUUAACAAGGUCAACUAUGGAAGCAGAACUCACAACAUUAGACAUAGUCACUGUUGAAGUAGAGUGGCUUCGUGAACUCUUGAUGGACUUACCUAUGGUUGAAAAACCAAUACCCCCUAUCCUGAUGAACUGUGAUAAUCAAACUGUGAUCGUCAAGAUAAACAGUUCUAAGGACAAUAUGAAGUCCUCAAGGCAUGUGAAGAGGAGACUGAAAUCUGUCAAAAAAUUGACGAACUCCAGAGUUAUUACGUUGGAUUAUAUCCAAACGUCGAAAAAUUUGGCAGAUCCCUUCACAAAGGGUGUAUCACGUAAUGUGAUAGAUAAUGCAUCGAUGGAGAUGGGUCUGAGACCACCGCAUGAGUUGUCCAUAGUGGUAACCCACUCUAUGUGAUCGGAGAUCCCGUGAAGUAGAAGUGGGAGACAAGCUGUUGGUCAGCUGGGAGGAGAGUAUCCCUAUAUUACCUAUCCCACUCCAUGAAGAUGCAAUACUCUCCUGAUCUGCAUGGCAGGUUGAUACUUAUCUUAAUGUGUUCCAAGUGGCUUAUUCGGGUAAGCAGAGAUGUUGUCCUGCAGAACAUCUUCUUAGGAACACACCUAUAUGAAUUUGACUAUUAACGUCACAGUCUGUGAGAAUUGGGUGUUCUCUAAUAAAUUCAUGAAAAGGCCCUGGAGUAUGACGUAUACGCUCGACCCAUGGGGAAGCUUUGCGGCAGCCCAUUAUCGGUCAAGAAUUUGUGUGAAACUAGUCUCGCAGAAAACUUGUAGUUUAAGGCACAGUCCACUAUUCAAGUUGUGAUCUAGUGUAGCAUAAAUCUCUAAGUGGAAGUUCAACUUCACAGUCUCCAGUAAGCACCAGUAUAUAAACAAUGUUUUGGAACUAAAUGAUGAGAUGUGCCAAUGAGACUUUGUGGGGGAUUGUUGGAAUUUUGCUAGUAGGCCAUUGGCCCAAAGCCCAACUAAAAUUCUGAAAUUCUCUUGGCCCAUUCAUGCACACAUGUGAGUGGAGUGAGUGAGGCUAAAGUUUAGUCCCACCCCAAAAGUUGAGAGAGAGUUGCACCUCUUUAUAAGGUGAGCUCUUCUACCACUUGUAUGAGCAUGAGAAGAGGAGACCUACACGCGCGCUCCUCCUCCUCGCUCGCCUCGCCUCGCCACGCCACGCCUCGUCAUGACGCGCCGUGGGUUGCGGGAUUGAGCCGAGGACAGAGCUAUGCACGUUGUCUAUAUUUUUGCUCCUUGGGAAAAAUUAAUGAGUCAUUAAUUAAUAAUUAAUGGAUACGUUAAUUACCAAACCGUUCCCAAUUCUUUUGGAUCGUGAUGACUCGGACGUGGGGUUUACUCCCACGACCUACCCAACCCGCACUAUAUAGUCAGGCAGACGUCUACCCUAGCCGCCGCCGCUUCGUAUGGUUUCUCACCACCGUUCCAGAUCAUUGCGCCGCCAAGCAAGUCUUCUCCAUCCCUCCUUUUGGCGUGCAUCGAGAGAAGGGACAGCAGGCCUCCGGAACCCCGCCUCUCGUGAUCCUGCACAGGAGAGGGGCGAUCAGGUUUUUGGGGAGUGCACUCGCGCGACUGCUAGCAGCGACGACUUCGCGAACGACGACUUCUUCCCCGACCUUGGUAACCUCAUCCUCAACGACAUGGGCGACAACGUCAAUGCCAGCGGUGCUGCACCCGCUGCACCGUAUGUUAUUCUAUCCUUCUUGUUCGAGAUCGUGGUAGAAUUCAUGUUUCUAGUAUGUGCCCUAUGUGAUAUGUUCAUCUACUAUGCUAGUUCGCAUGAUUAGUUUAAUCUCUGCUAUUGCUGUCAUGAUCUACUUCCUAUUUAUUCGGAUUAAAUCUCGUAGUAACUUGCUCAUAUUUCCAACAAUCCAAAAACCUGAUUAUAGGCAAUUUACUCUGAGUGGUUUUGCUGCGCAUCUGAAGCCGCCUGCCUUUAAGGGGGCGCAAUAUAAGAGGUGGCGCAUGAGAGCAGUCUACUAUUUUCAGACCAUGGGCUGCUAUGACACCACCAAGGGCAAGCCUGAGGGCGAUCUUAAUCCUGCACAGCUGGAAGCUUUCGAGAAGAUCGAUACCCUCUUUAAAGGCGCUCUUCUGAGUGUUCUUGAUGACUCCAUUGUGGAUUCGUAUAUUUCGUUUGACAACGGCAAGGACAUGUGGGCUGCGCUCGAGGCCAAGUUUGGUGCCUCGGACGCCGGCAGCGAGUUGUACGUCAUGGAGCGAUUCUAUGACUACAAGAUGACUGAUGAGCGCCUUGUUGUACAACAGGCUCAUGAGAUACAGUCGCUCGCAAAAGAACUUGAGUACUUCAAGUGUGUGUUGCCGGAAAAAUUUGUUGCCGGAGGCAUCAUUGCCAAGCUUCCACCUUCGUGGAACAAUUUUGCUACUUCCCUGAAACACAAGAGACAGGAGUUUUCCGUUGUGGAUCUCAUUGGUACUCUUGAUGUUGAAGAGAAGGCGAGAGCAAAGGACACACAUGCUCGAGUUGCCGAGGGAGGUUCUAGUGCCCACAAGGUACAGAAGAAGAACUCCCAGCCCAACAAGUUCAAAAACAAUAAGAACAAAACUCAGGGCAAAGGCAAGUUUGAUACAAAGAACAAGCCAUCACAUUCUACCAACUUCAAGAAGAAUUCUCAUAAGAAGGGGAAGGGACUUUGCCAUGUCUGCGGUGAUCCUAAUCACUGGGCUCCAAAGUGUCCUAACCGCUCUGAGGAGCGCGAACAUGAGAAGAGCGGCAAGUCCGCUAAUGUUGUCAUCAGUGAUAUUGAUAUGAAGGAAUCAGGGUACGGUAUUUUUCCUACCAUCCUUUUAGUAUUUCAAUCCCCUGAUUGGUUAAUUGACACUGGUGCCAAUGUACAUGUUUGUGCUGACGCCUCCAUGUUUUCUUCUUACCAGGCAACAGGGACUUCACCCGUGCUGAUGGGGAACGGGUCACAUGCCAUCGUUCGAGGUGUUGGUACGGUCGAUCUGAAGUUUACUUCGGGGAAGACUGUGCGUCUGAAGAACGUUCAUCAUGUGCCGUCCAUAAAUAAAAAUCUCGUUAGUGGUUCCCGUUUAUGUCGAGAUGGUUUUAAGUUGGUUUUCGAAUCCAAUAAAGUUGUAAUUUCUAUGUAUGGACAAUUUGUUGGAAAAGGCUAUGAGAGCGGAGGCUUGUUCCGCCUGUCUUUGUCAGAUAUUUGCACUAAAGUUAUUAAUAAUGUUUGCCACAACAAUGAGUCUGAUAUUUGGCAUUCACGACUUUGUCACAUUAACUUUGGUUGCAUGAAGCGGCUAGCCAAUAUGAAUUUAAUUCCAAAAAUCUCUACUGUCAAAGGCUCUAAGUGCCAAGUAUGUGUGCAAGCUAAGCAACCUCGCAAGUCCCAUAAGACUGCAAAGGCAAGAGACUUGGCGCCACUAGAGCUUAUACAUUCUGAUCUUUGUGAGAUGAAUGGCGUGUUGACAAAAGGUGGAAAAAGAUACUUCAUGAUGUUCAUUGAUGACUCCACUAGAUAUUGUUAUGUGUAUCUUCUGAAAUCAAAAGAUGAGGCUUUGACUUUCUUCAAAAACUAUAAAGCUGAGGCAGAGAACCAACUUGAUCGGAAAAUUAAACGGCUUAGGUCCGGUCGUGGUGGAGAGUAUUUUUCCAAUGAAUUUGAUCUGUUUUGUGCGAAACAUGGUAUAAUCCAUGAGAGGACGCCUCCCUACCCACCCCAGUCAAAUGGGGUAGCCGAAAGAAAGAACCAAACUCUAACUGAUAUGGUUAACACCAUGUUAGACACUUCGGGUCUAUCCAAGGAAUGGUGGGGGGAGGCGCUAAUGACUGCGUGUCAUGUCCUAAACCGUGUUCCCACAAAGCAUAAGACCAUGACUCCAUUUGAGGAAUGGGAAAGGAAAAUGUUGAAACUCUCUUACCUACGUACUUGGGGUUGUUUGGCGAAAGUCAAUAUACCAAUUCCCAAGAAGCGCAAGCUUGGACCAAAAACUGUGGAUUGUGUUCUUCUGGGCUAUGCUUUUCAUAGCAUCGGCUAUAGAUUUCUGAUAAUAAAAUCUAAGGUAUCCGACAUGCAUGUUGGUACGAUUAUGGAUUCGAAUGGUGCAACUUUGUUUGAGGACAUAUUUCCUAUGAAGGAUAUGUCGAGUUCAUCAAAUCAGGAGAUACCUACUCCAUCUAGUGAGGAAUUCACUGUAAUUCCUGAACCCACCAUUGCGAUGGAACACAUUGAGAAUCCUGUUGAGGGUGACAAUGGAACUCCCGUGAGGAGUAAGAGACAGAGGACUGCAAAGUCCUUUUGUGAUGAUUUCAUUGUGUACCUCGUGGAUGACACACCUAGGACGAUUUCAGAAGCCUAUGCAUCUCCUGAUGCUGACUACUGGAAGGAAGUUGUACGUAGCGAGAUGGAUUCCAUCUUAGCUAACGGUACAUGGGAGAUCACUGACCGUCCUUAUGGGUGCAAACCUCUAGGAUGUAAGUGGGUGUUCAAGAAGAAGCUUAGACCUGAUGGUACGAUUGAAAAGUACAAGGCACAGCUUGUGGCCAAGGGUUAUACCCAGAAAGAAGGUGAAGACUUCUUUGAUACUUACUCACCCGUGGCUACACUGACCACAAUUCGGGUGCUACUAUCACUGGCUGCCUCACAUGGUCUUCUCGUUCAUCAAAUGGAUGUUAAGACAGCUUUCCUCAAUGGAGAGUUGAAGGAGGAAAUUUACAUGGAUCAGCCAGAUGGUUUUGUAGUACCUGGUCAGGAAGGAAAGGUGUGCAAGUUAUUAAAGUCUUUAUAUGGCCUUAAACAAACUCCUAAAUAGUGUCACGAGAAGUUCGAAAGAACAUUAAUUGCUGCCGGCUUUGUAGUAAACGAUGGUGACAAGUGUGUGUACUAUCACUAUGGUGGGGGCGAAGGAGUUAUUCUUUGUCUGUAUGUCGAUGACAUACUGAUCUUUGGAACCAAACUUGAUUUAAUCAAGGAGGUUAAGGAUUUCUUAUCUUGCUGUUUUGAGAUGAAGGAUCUAGGAGUAGCUGAUGUUAUCUUAAACAUCAAGCUGUUGAGAGAUGAGAAUGGUGGGAUCACACUGCUUCAGUCUCACUAUGUGGAAAAGGUCUUGAGUUGUUUUGGGUAUAGCGACUGCACGCCUUCUCCUACUCCAUAUGAUGCUAGUGUGUUGCUUCGGAAGAACCGACAGAUUGCUAGAGAUCAACUGAGGUAUUCUCAGAUUAUUGGCUCGCUUAUGUAUUUGGCGAGUGCCACGAGGCCUGACAUCUCUUUUGCUGUGAGCAAGCUGAGUCGGUUUGUGUCAAAACUGGGAGAUGAUCAUUGGCAUACGCUUGAGAGAGUUAUGUGCUAUUUGAAAGGCACCGCGAGCUAUGUGAUUCACUACACCGGGUAUCCAAGGGUACUGGAGGGUUAUAGUGACUCAAACUGGAUAUCUGAUGCUGAUGAGAUUAAGGCCACAAGUGGUUAUGUUUUUACACUUGGUGGUGGCACUAUUUCCUGGAAGUUUUGCAAGCAGACCAUCUUAACGAGGUCAACUAUGGAAGCAGAACUCACAGCAUUAGACACAACCAUUGUUGAAGCAGAGUGGCUUUGUGAACUCUUGAUGGACUUACCUAUGGUUGAAAAACCAAUACCCCCUAUCCCGAUGAACUGUGAUAAUCAAACUGUGAUCGUCAAGAUAAACAGUUCUAAGGACAAUAUGAAGUCCUCAAGGCAUGUGAAGAGGAGACUGAAAUCUAUCAAAAAAUUGAGGAACUCCGGAGUUAUUACGUUGGAUUAUAUCCAAACGUUGAAAAAUUUGGCAGAUCCCUUCACAAAGGGUCUAUCACGUAAUGUGAUAGAUAAUGCAUCGAUGGAGAUGGGUCUGAGACCCACCGCAUGAGUUGUCCAUAGUGGUAACCCACUCUAUGUGAUCGGAGAUCCCGUGAAGUAGAAGUGGGGGACAAGCUGUUGGUCAGCUGGGAGGAGAGUAUCCUUAUAUUACCUAUCCCACUCCAUGAAGAUGCAAUACUCUCCUGAUCUGCAUGGCAGGUUGAUACUUAUCUUAAUGUGUUCCAAGUGGCUUAUUCAGGUAAGCAGAGAUGUUGUCCUGCAAAACAUCUUCUGAGGAACACACCUAUAUGAAUUUGACUAUUAACGUCGCAGUCUGUGAGAAUUGGGUGUUCUCUAAUAAAUUCAUGAAAAGGCCCUGGAGUAUGACAUAUACGCUCCACCCGCGGGGAAGCUUUGCGGCAGCCCAGUAUCGGUCAAGAAUUUGUGUGAAACUAGUCUCGCAGAAAACUUGUAGUUCAAGGCAUAGUCCACUAUUCAAGUUGUGAUCUAGUGUAGCAUAAAUCUCUAAGUGGAAGUUCAACUUCACAGUCUCCAGUAAGCACCGGUAUAUAAACAAUGUUUUGGAACUAAAUGAUGAGAUGUGCCAAUGAGACUUUGUGGGGGAUUGUUGGAAUUUUGCUAGUAGGCCUUUGGCCCAAAGCCCAACUAAAAUUCUGAAAUUCUCUUGGCCCAUUCAUGCACACAUGUGAGUGGAGUGAGUGAGGCUAAAGUUUAGUCCCACCCCGGAAGUUGAGAGAGAGUUGCACCUCUUUAUAAGGUGAGCUCUUCUACCACUUGUAUGAGCAUGAGAAGAGGAGACCUACAUGCGCUCGCCUCGCUUCGCCACGCCACGCCACGCCUCGUCACGACGCGCCGCGGGUUGCGGGAUUGAGCCGAGCCGAGGACAGAGCUAUGCACGUUGUCUAUAUUUUUGCUGCUCAGGAAAAAUUAAUGAGUCAUUAAUUAAUAAUUAAUGGACACGUUAAUUACUGAACCGUUCCCGAUUCUUUUGGAUCGUGAUGACUCGGACGUGGGGUUUACUCCCACGACUUACCCGACCCGCACUAUAUAGUCAGGCAGACGUCUACCCUAGCCGCCGCCGCUUCGUAUGGUUUCUCACCACCGUUCCAGGUCAUUGCACCGCCAACCAAGUCUUCUCCAUCCCUCCUUUCGGCGUGCACCGGGAGAAGGGACAGCAGGCCUCCAGAACCCCGCCUAUCGUGAUCCUAUACGGGAGAGGGGCGAUCAGGUUUUUGCAGAGCGCACUCGCGCGACUGCUGGCAGCGACGACUUCUUCCCCGACCUCGACAACCUCAUCCUCGACGACAUGGGCGACAACGUCAAUGCCGGCGGUGCUGCACCCGCUGCACCGUAUGUUAUUCUAUCCUUCUUGUUCGAGAUCGUGGUAGAAUUCAUGUUUCUAGUAUGUCCCCUAUAUGUGAUCUGUUCAUCUACUAAGCUAGUUCGCAUGGUUAGUUUAAUCUCUGCUAUUGCUGUCAUGAUCUACUUCCUAUUUAUUUGGAUUAAAUCUCGUAGUAACUUGCUCAUAUUUCCAACAGCGGCGGCUGUGGUGAGGGUUUCCCCGUGUCAUAGGAGGCGGCACGGGGACAUGAGUGUUCAGUUCGCAUGAGGUGUCAUGAUUAUAAUUUUCUCGACAGUGAAGUUCAGUCUACAUGUGCACCCCAUUCAUUUUCCCCGUGUCACGGGAGAUGACACAGGGACACGGGUGUUCGGUUCACAGGAGGUGUCGCAAUUAUACUUUUCUAGACAGUGAAGCUCAGCGACUACAGGUGCACCUGAAAGUGCAACUAUCCCUGGGUGGUUUUGGUAAUUCCUAACAACAUAUAGCUCAUUGAGCUAACAUUAUUCCAAGAUUAAUAUUUCAGGAAAAGCUCAAUGAAUGGCAUGGCAUGGAUGAGGAAAGUGGAUCCCUCAAAAUUCUAAGGACAAAAAGUUUGGCUCAAGCUUGAAGCUCAAGACUCUACAUUUUAUAUGUUAGUGAUCCAAGAUCACAUUGAGUCUAUAGGAAAAGCCAAUACUAUCAAGGAGGGAUGAGGUGUUGCUUAAUGGCUUGCUUGCUCAAAAUCCUUAGUGAUAUGAUCCAAAACCCUCAACUACCUUCCCACACCCACAUAUGACCUAAACCAAAGUCAAACUCGGCCCCACCAAUUCUUUCUAUCCGGCGCCACCGAGUUUCAAAUGUCAUAGCCACUGCCACAAACCCUAGGCAAAUCGGUCUCAUUGAUAGGGAUCUCGGUCUCAUCGAGAUGGGAUUGUAAUCUCUCUGUUUCCCUUCGUAACAUUUCGGUCUUACCGAGAUGAGCGAUCGGUCCCACCGAGAUUGCAAUGUAAACUCUCUGUUUCCCUUUUUUAACAUUUCGGUCUCACCGAGAUGAGCGAAUCGGUCCCACCGAGUUUACCUGACCAACUCCCUGGUUAGCUUAUUACCAAAAUCGGUCCCACCGAGUUUGUGUAAUCGGUCACACCAAGAUUACUUUAUGCCCUAACCCUAACCAUAUCGGUCCUACCGAGUUGCAUCUCAGUCCCACCGAAAAUCCUAAUGGUCACUAGGUUUGCUGAAUCAGUCCGACCGAGUUUAAUCAUUCAGUCCCGCCGAGUUUGGCAAAUUGUGUGUAAUGGUUAGAUUUUGUGUGGAGGCUAUAUAUACCCCUCCACCCACUCUUCAUUCGUGGAGAGAGCCAUCAGAACAUACCUACACUUCCAAUACACAUUUUCUGAGAGAGAACCACCUACACUUGUGUUGAGGUCAAGAUAUUCCAUUCCAACCAUAUGAAUCUUGAUCUCUAGCCUUCCCCAAGUUGCUUUCCACUCAAAUCUUCUUUCCACCAAAUCCAAAUCCUGUGAGAGAGAGUUGAGUGUUAGGGAGACUAUCAUUUGAAGCACAAGAGCAAGGAGUUCAUCAUCAACACACCAUUUGUUACUUCUUGGAGAGUGGUGUCUCCUAGAUUGGCUAGGUGUCACUUGGGAGCCUCCGACAAGAUUGUGGAGUUGAACCAAGGAGUUUGUAAGGGCAAGGAGAUCACCUACUUCGUGAAGAUCUACCGCUAGUGAGACAAGUCCUUCGUGGGCGACGGCCGUGAUGGAAUAGGCAAGGUUGCUUCUUCGUGGACCCUUCGUGGGUGGAGCCCUCCGUGGACUCGUGCAACCGUUACCCUCCGUGGGUUGAAGUCUCCAUAAACGUGGAUGUACGAUAGCACCACCUAUCGGAACCAUGACAAAAACAUCCGUGUCUCCAAUUGCGUUUGAAUCCUCCAAACCCUUCCCUUUACAUUCUUGCAAGUUGCAUGCUUUACUUUCCGCUGCUCAUAUACUCUUUUGCAUGCUUGCUUGAAUUGUGUGGAGAUUGCUUGACUUGUCCUAAGAUAGCUAAAAUCUGCCAAGAACUAAAAUUGGGAAAAGACUAGAUUUUUAUUUGGUCAAGUAGUCUAAUCACCCCCCUCUAGACAUACUUUCGAUCCUACAAGUGGUAUCAGAGUUUUGGUCUCCAUUUGCUUUGAUUUCCAUAGCUUUUGGUGGUCAUAGCCUUGGUUUCACAACCUAGGAGAGUAUGGCGUCUAGCGAGGGAAAUUAUCACCAUAGAGGUCCUUACUUUGAUGGCACUAAUUUUGCUAGUUGGAAGCAUAAGAUGAAAAUGCAUAUUCUUGGACAUAACCCCGCCGUUUGGGCUAUUGUGUGUAUUGGCUUGCAAGGUGAAUUCUUUGAUGGGAAAGAACCAAACCGUGAAGCCACCGCGGAAGAGUUGAAAAUGCUGCAAUACAACGCUCAAGCUUGUGAUAUCCUCUUCAACGGAUUGUGCCCCGAAGAAUUCAACAAAAUCAGCCGUCUUGAGAAUACAAAGGAAAUUUGGGAUACUUUGAUUGAUAUGCACGAAGGUACCGACUCCGUCAAAGAAUCCAAAUUGGAUGUGCUUCAAAGUCAACUUGACAAGUUCAAAAUGAAGGAUGGUGAAGGUGUCGCUGAAAUGUACUCUAGGCUUGCUCUUAUCACAAAUGAGAUUGCCGGCUUAGGGAGUGAAGAGAUGACCGAUAGAUUCAUCAUGAAGAAGAUCCUAAGAGCCUUGGAUGGAAAAUAUGAUACCGUGUGCACAUUGAUCCAAAUGAUGCCAAAUUACAAAGAUCUCAAGCCAACGGAAGUCAUCGGAAGAAUUGUUGCUCAUGAGAUGUCACUCAAGAAUAAAGAGGAACUUCACAACAAAUCAAGUGGUGCUUACAAAGCCUCAUGUGAAGCCCCCACAUCAUCGAGUGAGAAACAAACCUUCAAUGAAGAAUUGAGAUUAAUGGUGAAGAACUUCAACAAAUUCGACAAGAGUAGAAGCAAAGGGAGAAGCUCCAAGUCAAGGUCCUACAAUGACAAAAGAUCUUCUAGUCGAGAGCGAAACUGCUACAAUUGUGGAAGGCCCGGACACUAUUCAAAUGAGUGUACGCCCCCCUACAAGAGAAGAGAAGAUUCUCCCAAGAGAAGAAGUAGAAGAGAAGAAUCACCAUCUAGAGAAAGAAGGAGUAGAGAUGAUCGUUAUGAAUGAAGACCCUCACGGAGAAGCAAGGAUUCAGAAAGAAAGGACAGGUCAUCAAGGAGCUACACAAAACGAAGACAUCAAGCUCAUGUUGGUGAAUGGGUAUCCGGCUCUGACUCCGACAACCACUCCGAGAGAAGCUAUCACUCCGACUCCGAAUAUACUCAAGAUGAAGGUGUUGCCGGUCUAGCACUUGUGACAACCAACUCCUACGACAUAUUUGACUUACCAAAUGAAGGAGUUGGAACAUGCUUCAUGGCUAAAGGCCCAAAGGUAUCACACCCCGAGUAUGUUGAUUUCAAUAGUGAUGAAUAUGACUUGUUAGGUGAUGAUGAUUUACUUGUUGACAACUCUAGUGAUGAAUACUAUGAUGAAACGUCAAUUAAUCAUGCUAAUCAAGAUAAAAUGAAUGACAAUGAUAAGGAGAAGAUUGAGUCUCUAACUAAAGAACUAAACACUCUUAAGUUAGCUCAUGAAACUAUCUUAGGAGAUCAUCGAGAACUUUUAAUGACUCAUGAGAAAUUACGCUUUGAAAAUCUCAACCUUGAGCAAGAGCAUGAGUUCUUAAAAGCAAUCAAUGAUGAUCUUCGCAAGAAAAGUUCUUCUUACAUUGCCAAGCGUUUACUCUUAUCCACUUACAUGCCUCAAGUCAAGUCUAGUAACAAGAACAAGAAAGAUUCUUCCUCUAGUAGUAACAAUAAUCAUGCUAAAUCCAAUAUUGUUGCUUCUAGUAGUUCUCUUGAUUCCACUAAUGAUUCUCUUAGCCAAGUUACACUUGAGCAAGAAAAUAGCUUAUUGAAGGGAAUUAUAGAGAAAGGUGUUUACAAGAGCCUUGCUGGAAGUAAGCAAUUCGAGGAAAUUGUACGCAAGCAAGGAAGGCACCGGAAGAAUCAAGGUGUUGGUUUUGAACGAAAGUUCAAUGCCAAUGGAGUUGAGUGGGAAGAAGAUCAAUACCCCAAGACGAAGUUUGUUCCUUAACAAGAGAAGUAUGAUCCUACUUCUCUCAAAGGGACACAAGCUCAAGAUGAUCUUCCACCACAAGACCAUAAGCAAAAAGGCAAGGACAAGCUUCAAGAGGAAAUUGAUGCAUUUGAAGAAGCUCCUAAGGCCUUGGUCAAGUGGGUUCCCAAGACUACUUCAAGUUCCACUUCAUCAAGUACAACUACAACACCGAGGAUUCCCAUCAAGAUGGUGUGGAUCCCGAAGAAGAAGAACUAGAGAGUUCUUUGAGGGUGACUCCGCCAACAUACUUCACUCUUAUCAUCUUGGCAAGAACAAGUGCGAUCAACUUCCACAUCUUGCACUAGUUCAAGGAGUCACAAACCCUCUUGUUGGUAAGACAAGGGACAAGGUAACCUAAAAGCUUUCAUAGACAUCAUCUUGUGUGUGCAUCACUUUAUGUCUAUGGAUAUCCUUGUUUGUUCCUUGUGGGACUAACCCAUGUAUGUAUUGAAAGUGCAACUCACUCCAAUGGAUAGCUCCAAAUGAUCUACAUCAACAUUGAGCAUCCACAUCUUCAACAUCUACAUGAAGUCAUCAUCGACAAAACCCAAGGUUAGUUCAUCCAUCUUAGGGGGGAUCUCACAUCUAGGGGGAGCUUUACUCUAAGAAUUGAGCUAAAGCAACUCUAAUGGUGUGAACACAACAAAUGCUUUAUGUAAAAGUGGUAACCCCACUUGUGCUUAAACGAUGAGUAUGACCUAUGAUCAAAUGUUCUCAUUUGACUCCUAAGUCAAUAUACUCAUAUAUAGAUGACCUAGUCAUCGCCAAUUGUUUGAUAGAUGCUAGAAUGGGUUGUGCGUGCUUUGCCACAUAUUUCAAUUGCCAUUUUAUUGUGUGAGCAUGUUGAUUGCAUAUUUCACUCAUUCGAGGACAUCCACUUGUUGUUUUGAUUGAUUGUUUUUCUUUUCUUUUGCCAAGUGGAUGGACAAGAAUGCCUAAGAACCCUCUCUAGCUAUCUAUGCUUUUCUCGUCUCAAACUCUAUUCAUGCUACAUCACAAAAUUUGAUCAAGUCAGAUUCGAACCACUCUAUGUGAGGAGCACUCGGAGUCCCCGAUUCGUCAUAGACUUAAACUUCCAAAACUUCUUUGUGCAUUUCGGUCUGACCGAUUCAUCCAUUUCGGUCAUACCGAGAUCACUAAGUCGAUCUAGGUUUUCAAUCUUGGUGCAACCGAUUUGAACCUUUCGGUCACACCGAGUUUCAGUAACUGCUUACAGUUAUGAAUCUCGAUGCCACCGAGUUGUUCCACUCGGUCACACCGACAGGGUCGGGCUAUAUAUACUCACGGGCAAAAUUUUGGAAAUUUCUUCGAAACCCUUCACCCGCGCAUAGCUCACUCUGCCUCCUGGGUCUCCGGAUCGUCCUCCUCAUCGCCAGUUGCCUCCUGCUGCUGGUCUCUGCCGCCGUCAACGGAAUUCUUCCCCGUCGUUGCCGCCGUAGCGAGUUCAUCGCCGAACUAGGGUAUGGACUCGAUCACAGUGCUAUCCCCGUCCGAUUCCUAGCACAUUGUGUUCAUUAUGAUUCUUACCACGAUUGAAAUGAUCUUAUCCAGUCAAAACACUUCGUAGAUUAGAGUUGAAUUGAAAAUUAAGGGUUAGGUUUCCGCCGAAACCAUCUCGGACCCACCGAGUUGUGGAACUCGGUACCACCGAUUCGGCUCAGGCCAUUGCACAUGUAAUUUUCGGUCUAACCGAGAAUUGCAAAUCGGUGUGACCGAGUUCAGGACUUUGUGAAACCCUAGCAGUCUCGGUGCCACUGAACUGUGACUCGGUCUGACCGAGUUCACUAGUUUAGGUUCCAACAGCUGCUUCGGUAUCACCGAGUUUACAAAUCGGUUGAUCCGAAAUGCUUUCUGUGGAAAACUAAAACUAAGUUUUUGACUCAUUCUCUUGCAAAAACCUCUGCAUUUUGUGAUGCUCAUCCACUCUAUCUCAUCUAUAUCUAUUCACAGGGUCUGCUGUCAGUGUUUGCAAUAUGUCUGAUCAAAGUGAUAGCCAGAACAGGUCAGAGGAGCAGGUUCACCUGAGUGAGGGCACUAGUCCCUCUAGCAGUUCAGAUGAUGGUAGCAGGAGCACUCCCAGCAACUUGCUCAAAGAUACCACCAGAACAAGGAAGAAGAAAACUUCAGAAUCUGAGGAUGAAGACUAUGUGGCAGUUGAGGAUGAGGCCACUUCCAAGAAGAAAGUGGUUAAGAAGGAAUAUAGCACUGCUGCUACCACCAAGCCAGGCAUGAAGCAAAAGGUUCCUACAAAGAGAAUUCCAAUGUCUAAGGCCAGAGCAUCUACUCAAGUCCCUUUGGGAUCUGAACCCAAUGAGGCUGCUGCAGAAGGGAAGAAGAGGAAGGAGAGGAUCAAAAAGACCACUGCUAGAGUGCUUGGGAGAUCCUCAAUCAUGAGAGAUUCUGAAGAGGAAGAGGAAGAAGAGGUUGCUGCACCAGCACCCAAGGCACAAAAGCUGAUGGGUGAUGCUAUAAAGUCAGGGGCUGCAAUAUCAAAGCCCAAAGAAGCACCCAAAGCAGCCUCCAAGCCCAAGAGUGCACCUAAGAGGAAUACCAGGAGUAUACCAGCUGCUGAGAAGAACAAGGCCCCAGUGCCUGAAGUUGCUGCUGAUGAAGAUGAUGAAGGACAAGUCCUGAGAAAGCUCAAACCCAAGAUUCCAGACCACAAUGAUGCUCAUCCUGUGGCUGAGAAUAUGAAGAUCAGGAGAGACUCAGGACUGAGGAAAUGGAGAGAGACAGACCCAUAUGCUACAAGAAGAAGGACUGCUGUUGAUUACAGGUUCCACACAAAGGAACAACAGGACUUCUAUGAGACAGAGUUGUUGGACAAGAAGCCUAUAGUGUGUGAAAUGAGGUGGGUCGACUGGAAGUAUAUCAAGGAAAAUGAGAAACACUAUCCUGGUCCAUUUGACAGCUUCAGUGCUUGUGGAGUUGCAGACUUUGCUAGGCAGAAGCUCACAAAGUGGAAUGAGGAGCUCAUAAUGCAAUUCUACUCCACAUCACACUUCUAUCCAGAUGGCAGGAUAGUAUGGAUGUCUGAAGGUAUAAGGUACCACUCAACUAUUGAGGAAUGGGCAAAUCUGAUCAAUGCUCCUAAGGAAGAAGAAGAUGACUUGGAUGUCUAUGCCAAGAAGAAGAUGGAUCACAACUCUAUGGCAAACAUGUACAAGGAGAUUCCUGAAGAUGAUCUUGAGACUCACCAGUUUGGGUCAGUAAAACACUUGCUGUCAGGGCUGCCUACAAUCAAUUGGAUCCUUAGGCACACUCUCUUGCCCAAGUCUGGUGAUCAUAGAAUGAUCAUAGGCCAUGCAAUUAACUUGCUACAUAUAUUUGAUGUGCCACAGAAGUUCAAGGUCAUGAGCCUUAUAGUUGAGACUACCAAGAGGACUGCAGCUGACCAGAAAAGAAGUUGUGGAUAUGCCCCACAGAUCCAGGAGUUGAUAAACUCAAAGAUGGGCACAUGCACAUACUUGUUGGAUAAGGAACACUUGCCUAUCUAUCCUGACUUUGAGGACAAUCAAGUUGUGAUGAAUGAGAAUGAACCAUCAUCAGUACAAGCUCAAGAGAAGAAGGAGAAAGCAAAGAAAGAGAAGGCUGCCAAGAUGCCAACUCAAGAGGAGGCAUCUGAGUACUUUUUGAAAAGCAAGCAAGAUCAGCUUGGCUACCUGAUUGCAUCCACUCUGAGGAUUGAGAAGGGACUGACCACCCUAACUCAAAACCAGGAGAGCUUGGAAAGAAUCGUGGAGCAAAAAUUCUAUGACUUGGAUGUGAAGGUAACUGAGAUUCAGUCUGUUGUGGAGCAACUUCAAGAUGAUAUGCAGGAGAGGAAGGGCAAGACAACCACUGAUGCAUUUGCCAGAGUGCCUAGAGCUUAGAGGUCUGCUGCAGUGCCUGUUCCAGACACUAGAGUCACUUCAUCUGCACCAGCUACAGCUCCAGCGCAACCAGCUCCAGCACCAACUCCUUCAGCUCCAUCCACAUCAACUGAAGCCUUCGUCCUUGGCGUUCUCCGGAUACCACCACCUGAAGGCCAAGCCUGAGAGACGUUUUAGUGCUAUGCAUUUUCUAUGAACGUUUUGGUAACUUGUUGCCAAAGGGGGAGAAAAAUGUAUAGAUCAUAGGCUUCGAGAGAGAGAGAGUUUGUUUUUGUUCUCUCUUGUCUUCUUGGUUGAACUUUGGUUGCUUUUGAUUGCUUGAGAUACUAUGCUAUUAUCUGUGAGACAUUGAUGAUCAUGUGGUUGAUCAUAAGCUACACUUAUGCUUGUUGGAUGAUAUUAUCUUACUUAUCCUUAUAUGAUCAUUCACUUUGCUUGGUGAUGAGUGCAUCUAUUUAAUUCUUAUCAUUUUGAGCGCUCCACCAAGAUGUAUGUGACAUGGAAGAGUAACCCAUGAUCCUAACUCAUUCUGCAUUUGCAGUCCAAAGCAAAUCUUAAGAUAUGCACAAAUUUAGGGGGAGCUCUUGCUUUUCACAUACUUCUCAAAGCGACAAUAUCUUUCACUCUUAUUAUCAUUUGUCGAAGCUUUGAUCUAUAUGUUGUCAUCAAUUACCAAAAAGGGGGAGAUUGAAAGUGCAACUAUCCCUGGGUGUUUUGGUAAUUCCUAACAACAUAUAGCUCAUUGAGCUAACAUUAUUCCAAGAUUAAUAUUUCAGGAAAAGCUCAAUGAAUGGCAUGGCAUGGAUGAGGAAAGUGGAUCCCUCAAAAUUCUAAGGACAAAAAGUUAGCUUGAAGCUCAAGACUCCACAUUUUAUAUUUUAGUGAUCCAAGAUCACAUUGAGUCUAUAGGAAAAGCCAAUACUAUCAAGGAGGGAUGAGGUGUUGCUUAAUGGCUUGCUUGCUCAAAAUGCUUAGUGAUAUGCUCCAAAACCCUCAACUACCUUUCCACACCCACAUAUGACCUAAACCAAAAGUCAAACUCGGCCCCACCGAUUCUUUCUAUCCGGCGCCACCGAGUUUCAAAUGUCAGAGCCACUGCCACAAACCCUAGGCAAAUCGGUCUCACCGAUAGGGAUCUCGGUCUCACCGAGAUGGGAUUGUAAUCUCUCUGUUUCCCUUCGUAACGUUUUGGUCUUACCGAGAUGAGCGAUCGAUCCCACCGAGAUUGCAAUGUAAACUCUCUGUUUCCCUUUUGUAACAUUUCGGUCUCACCGAGAUGAGCGAAUCGGUCCCAUCGAGUUUACCUGACCAAUUCUUUGGUUAGCUUAUUACCAAAAUCGGUCCCACCGAGUUUGUGUAAUCGGUCACACCGAGAUUACGUUAUGCCCUAACCCUAACCAUAUCGGUCCUACCGAGUUGCAUCUCAGUCCCACGGAAAAUCCUAACGAUCACUAGGUUUGCUGAAUCGGUCCGACCGAGUUUAACCAUUCGGUCCCACCGAGUUUGGCAAAUUGUGUGUAACGGUUAGAUUUUGUGUGGAGGCUAUAUAUACCCCUCCACCCACUCUUCAUUCAUGGAGAGAGCCAUCAGAACAUACCUACACUUCCAAUACACAUUUUCUGAGAGAGAACCACCUACACUUGUGUUGAGGUCAAGAUAUUCCAUUCCAACCAUAUGAAUCUUGAUCUCUAGCCUUCCCCAAGUUGCUUUCCACUCAAAUCUUCUUUCCACCAAAUCCAAAUCCUGUGAGAGAGAGUUGAGUGUUGGGGAGACUAUCAUUUGAAGCACAAGAGCAAGAAGUUCAUCAUCAACACACCAUUUUUUACUUCUUGGAGAGUGGUGUCUCCUAGAUUGGCUAGGUGUCACUUGGGAGCCUCCGACAAGAUUGUGGAGUUGAACCAAGGAGUUUGUAAGGGCAAGGAGAUCGCCUACUUCGUGAAGAUCUACCGCUAGUGAGGAAGUCCUUCAUGGGCGACGGCCGUGAUGGAAUAGACAAGGUUGCUUCUUUGUGGACCCUUCGUGGGUGGAGCCCUCCGUGGACUCGCGCAACCGUUACCCUCCGUGGGUUGAAGUCUCCAUCAACGUGGAUGUACGAUAGCACCACCUAUCGGAACCACGACAAAAACAUCCGUGUCUCCAAUUGCGUUUGAAUCCUCCAAACCCUUCCCUUUACAUUCUUGCAAGUUGCAUGCUUUACUUUCCGCCGCUCAUAUACUCUUUUGCAUGCUUGCUUGAAUUGUGUGGAGAUUGCUUGACUUGUGCUAAGAUAGCUAAAAUCUGCCAAGAACUAAAAUUGGGAAAAUGCUAGAUUUUUAUUUGGUCAAGUAGUCUAAUCACCCCCUCUAGACAGACUUUCGAUCCUACAACACCCCAUUCACUUCCCUGGUGUCAUAGGAGAUGACACGGGGACACGGGUGUUUGUUUCGCAGAAAGUGUCACAAUUAUACUUUUCUACACAGUGAAGUUCUGUGACUACAGGUGCACCCAUUCACUUUCUUCUUGUCUAUUCGGAUGUAAUUUUGAAACAACUGAGGUAUCUUGAGAAUGGUCUUGGUGAUCUCGCCCAAAAUACUUUUUUUGAAAUAAAAGGAAGACCCGCGCGCCACAUAAAACUAUUUUCUCAUGUCUUCCUUCUUGUGACAUUUCAGAUGAGAAAAAAGACAUACUAAUAAUCUAUCUGUUCUACUUCUCAUGCAUUCUAAGACAAGAUAAUGCAGAGUUGCAGAUAAGUAUUUUCUUCAGUUAAAAACCAAGGUUAUCAAUAUAGUAGGAGAAUCACAUAGAACCUCAUUAGCAGCACCUACACACACAAAAACAAAUACUUGCACCCAACGUGAUCAAGAUGUUGUCAGUCCCCUUGUUGGUCAUUUGCAAGGAUCAAAUCUCGUAGUGGUAGAUAUAUGAAAUAAAAUACUAAACAAAAAUAAAAGAAAUAAAAAUACAACGAGGUAUUUUUGGAUUUUUAUAUAUGAUAAAAGUAGACCGGGGGCCAUAGUUAUCACUAGAGAGUUCUCUCUCGAACACAUAGCAUACGGUGGGCAAACAAAUUACUGUUGGGCAAAAGAUAGAAAAGUGCAUAGUUAUGACGAUAUUCGAGGCAAUGAUCAUGUAUAUGGCAUCACGUUCGAGACAAAUAUACCGAAUCCUGCCUGCAUCUACUACUAUUACUCAAUCCAUCGACCGCUAUCUACCAUGCAUGUAGGCUAUUAAGUUAAUAAAAAUAAAGUAACGCCUUAAGCAAGAUGACAUGAUGUAAACACAGUAAAUCUAAGAAAUAUGAAUAAACCUCAUUGUUUUAUCCUUAAUGGCAACAAUGCAAAUAAGUGUCAUUUCCCUUUCGGUCACUAGGAUGGAGCACCGCAAGAUCGAACCCAUUACAAAGUACCUCUCUCAUUACAAAAUAAAUCAAUCUAGUUGGCCAAAGUAAAAACAUAUAGAGAGAAAUACAAAAGUAUAAUAAUCAUGCAUAAAUAAGUUCGGAGAAGACUCAAAUAUUUCUCAUGAAUAUUCAGAUCAUGAACCCACAAUUCAUCGGAUCCCAACAAACACACCGCAAAAGAGAAUUACAUCAGAUAGAACUCCAAGAAGAUCAAGGAGAACAUGAUGAAGAUCAACAAGAGAGAAGAAUCCAUAUAGCUACUAGCUAUGAACCCGUAGGUCUGUGGUAGACUACCCACACAUCAUCGGAAAGGCAGUAAGGUUGAUGUAGAAGCCCUCCGUGAUCGACUUCUCAUCCAACAGAGUACCAAAAAAGGACUGCAGAUGGGAUCACAAAAGAAGAGAGACCUGCGGCAGCGAAGAAAGUGUUUCGGGUGGCUCUCUAGUAUAUUGGGAAUAUUUAAGAAUUUAUAGAGGUGAAAUUUGGUCAAGAGGUGCCACGAGGGGCUCACAAGCCUGGGGGAGCCCCCCCGGGGCGCGCUUAGCGAGCUUGUCGCUCCCUCAUUGUAACACCCCGGUGUAAUGAUGCUACAGUAAUCCCAGAGGUCAAGUUAAUCAUUUUGCUAUAACAAUGCUUAGCCACUUUAAUCAAUAUCACAUUUCAAAUUCUAGUUGAAUUCAAUCUCAAAUUGUGUGUGAAUUUCAAAAAAAUACUCAAACAUGAAAACUAAAAUGUUCAUCAUGUGUAAAAUAUUCUCCUGGUAAUAUUGGUGGUGAACCAACAUUUUUGCAAAAUGCCUAUGUGGCCUAAAAUAGCUAAAACAAAAAAGCUUAAAAAAGAAAAAGAAAAGGAGAAAAGGGAGAGGAGGGAGAAAGGCCUCCUCCCCCACUAAUUCCCCUGGGCCUCGGCCCACCCCUCCACCCGAGCCAGCCCACCUAACCCCCCACGGCCCAACUCCCUGCACCGGUUGCCUCCCCCUCCUUCUUGUUCCUCGGAUUCGGCCGCUAUAGGGCGCUCCCACCCACGGUCGGCGCCGCAUCACCUUGUCGACGACGCGGGAGAGGACAAGGCCGCCCCGACGCCUCGGCCUCCACCCAUCUCUCCCACUUGCUCCCUCUCUCUGCCUCUCCCUCUCCGCACCAGCUCCCCUCUCCUCUUGCUCGCUCGCUCCUCUCCCCCUCUGCCUGAGCGCGCCCGCCGCCGUGCCUCGCCCAUCCUCGCGGCCACCGAGCCCCGUUCGCCUCGCCGUCGUGCCCAUCAUCUCCGCUGUCGUCGUCUACCCCAUCCACAUCCGUGAGCGCGAGCCGGGAGCCACUGCAGCGAGCCCGACAACCUCUUCUUCCCCUACAACUGUCUUCGCCUUCGUCGCCGUCGAUCUUCCCCGAACCCACCUGAGCACACCUACAGGGCCAACGUGAGCACGCGCCUCUUUCGCCUCUCUUCCCCGCGCGUUUCCGGCGCCGUAGUUCCUCCUCCCCGUCGUGCCCGAAUGCGGCUCCGCGCGAGCUCGUCGCCGGCAUAGCCACGACGACCAUAGGGACCCGUCUGUGCCACCAUCACGCUCACCGCACAGCGUAGGCCUCGUUUAGCCGCUUGGGUUGCCCGCAAAUGCACCCCAGCCCCGUUCCCGACGACGACCGAAGUCUGGCGUACGCCUCGCCGCUCGCCCUCGAUGUCCCCGACCACCGCAGCCUCUGCCACCACCCCAGAUCGCCUCGCCGUCGUCUUCUCAUUCGAACGAGCCCGACCGUGCUAAAAACGAUGUCCCGUAGCACCAUCCUCGUCAUCGCCCAAGCGCGACCGUCGCCCUCGUUGCUCGUCGGCGCCGCUCCGGCCAACUCCGGCGACGCCACCGCCUGCAGUCGACGCACCGUCGCGCGUGUUCGAACGGUGCCAACCGCACGCGAAACGGCCGCCCCUAGCACGUUUCCGACGAGGCCCGGGUGCCCCCGCCGUGUUCUGACGUCGCCGGCGGCGAAACGCCGGCCGCCGCCUACGUGGUUGGCCUGGGGCCACCCCAGUGCCACUGCUAGUGGGCCCUGCGGGUCCCAGUUGACUGGGUUGACCCAGUCAACUGCUGACCAGGCAGCCAGUGCCACUGACAUGCUGGCCCCACCGCCUAUUUUAAUUAAUUAAAAUGUUUUAAUUAUCUAAAACCUAAUUAGUUACUAAUUAGAGAUUGACAUGUGGGGCCCAGUAGCUAUUUAACCUUAGUUUAGUUUAAUAUAAACUCUGUUAAUUACAGUGGCUAAUAUGUGGGCACCACCUGUCUGGUUUGACUGGUCAGCUGACCUGUUGACAUGCUGUCGUCAGCAUUGCAUCAUGCUGAUGUCAUAUUUCCCUUUCUAUUAAUUUAAAUAAUUCUAGGAUAUUGUUUAAAUCUUUAGAAAUUCAUAGAAAUUAAACCGUAGCUCGGAUGAAAAUGUUUUCUAUAUGAAAGUUGCUCAAAAAAAUCCAACGAAUCCAAAUGCACGGUCCAUGCACCUGUCACAUGCCCCUAGCAUGCUGAACAUGGAACCAUCCCCUCUCUUUCAUCUGUCCGGAAUCCACCUAACACCGGUAAUUCAUCCUCGGAUGUUUAUCCCCUCCGUCUGCAACGUGUAGUACUACGUUAGGGCAACCCUAGCUCUGCCCGUCAUCAUGUUAUGCCUUGUGAUGCAUUGUUUGCUCUAUAUUUACUGUUUCUUCCCCCCCUUCUCUCCGGUAGACCCUGAGACCGAUGAUGCCGCUGUGAUCGGCUACGUCACCGACGACCCCUCCUUCUUGUUUGAGCAACCAGGCAAGCAAACCCCCCUUGAGCAUUCCGAUAUCGCCUAUUUCUUUCCCUCUCAUGCUUGCAUUAGAACUGCUACUGCUUUCUGUAUUAUCCUACUCUGAUGCAUAGCCUGUUGGUGUUACCUGCUUAUCCUAAACUGUUUAGUAUAGGUUGAUUAGUGAUCCAUCAGUGACCCCCACCUUGUCCCAGUUGCCCCGCUUUAUGUUCGAUGACUCGAUCAACGUGAUCGAUGUCUAGGCCCCGACACCGCAGAUCACCCCCCUAGUUGUACGACUCUGCAGAGUUACCAUCGAGUGCCGAGGGUGGAACCUCAUACAUCAUUCCUGAUGAGACCUCUGUAGUGUAGCUAAUUGGUCGUGGUCAUCGAGGGUGAUUUCCUCCUUAACCACUUCCGACACGUCUCUGUCGUGAAACCCCUCAAGUGUGAACCUCGAGGGUGGAUCCUCUUACGUUCACCUUGAUGAUUACAUCGAGUGGAAUUUACCGGGGGUGAUUCCUCGGGUUUUCCCCUUGAUGUUUGCACACAUGGAUACUUGGACUUUACAGUUGUUACUUGGAUAGGCGGGUCGACCCUGAGGGGUACCCGUGAGUGAUGUGGAGUCGGGUUGACCUGGAAGGUGCCCGCGAGAUACUUACGAGGCGUGCCCGGGCAUUAUUAGCCCUUUCCGCAAGUACUCGAGAUGGGGCAACGGGGUCACAUCGAUCGUGAGUCUAUGCUCGUUACCGCGCGCUCCUAAUCCACUACGAUUUAGAUAUUUGAUCCGAGGGGCCUCUGGCCUAAUAGCACUAACCAUCACGUGGGCAUAGUAUGGGCGUUUUGCGUCGUAUACAUCAGCCGAAGCUUAAUAGACGUCAGCGACUGAGCGGCGCGCGCCGGGUUGGACUGCGUAAGCUCCUGCCUUGUUGAAGGAGGUAGCUAGGUCUGCUCACCGGUCGCGUACGCAACGUGCAGGAGUUCCUAGGGAGAUGGCCCAUGACCCCUGGGGGCAUAGGUUUAGUCCAGCGUGCUGACCUCUCUAUUAAGUCUAGGUUGGGUUGCGGCGUAUUGUUUGGCCGAGGCCGGGCAUGACCCAGGAAAGUGUGUCCGGCCGGAGUUAAUCGAGCAUGGUGGGUAAGUUGGUGCACCCCUGUAGGGAAGAAAACAUAUAUCGAUAGCCUGUCCUACGGUAACGGAAACUUGGAGUUGUAUCCCGAUCGAUACAACUAGAACUGGAUACUUGAGAUGAGACAUGGAGAUGAGACUUGGAUAUGAGACGAUAACUGGAUAGUAUGGCUCUGGGAUUGCUUUCUCGCAGGGAGUCGAGAAAGGAUCUCUGGCCAAGGUUGAUAACACUACUACUUUACAUUAUGUUGAUCUGUACUCUUCUAUAUGCUGCAAGAUGCUUGAAGAUGCUUGAAGACGCUUGUCUUCGAUAGGCUAGGCUUUCUCCUUCUCUUCUGGCAUUCUGCAGUUUAGUCCAUAGAUACAACCCAUUUCCUUUGAUACAGAUGCAUACUUAGUUUAUAUCUGAUGUAAGUCUUGCGAGUACUUUGGAUGAGUACUCACGAUUGCUUUGCUACUUCUUUUUCCCCCAUACCCAAUUGUUGCGACCAGAUGACGGAUCCCAGGAGCCAGACGACGCCACUGAUGACUACUACUAUGUGAAGACCGCAGACAACUAGGAGUAGUUAGGAGGCUCCCAGGCAGGAGGCCUUGCCUUUUCGAUCGUUGUUGCUUUUGUGCUAGCCUUCUUAAGGCAAACUUGUCUAACUUAUGUCUGUGCUCAGAUAUUGUUGCUUCCGCCGACUUUUGUGUAUUCGAGCUUAUGUAUUCGAUCCCUCGAGGCCCCUGGCUUGUAAUAUAAAGCUUGUAUUAUUUUAAUUUGUGUCUAGAGUUGUGUUGUGAUAUCUUCCCAUGAGUCCUUGAUCUUGAUCGUACACAUUUGCGUGUAUGAUUAGUGUACGGUCAAAUCGGGGGCAUCACAAGUUGGUAUCAGAGCCGACUGCCUGUAGGUAGCCCCCUUUCCAACUCCUUGGCCGAAGUUGAGUCUAGUCACUAAAAAGCUUUUACUAACAUUGGCUGUGUGUCUUAUGGGCCCACAUCACCAUAUGGGUGGUAUUAGGAUCUUUUAGUCCUCGAUCUUUACUCUGGGACUCUGAUCUCUCUUCUAUUUGGGUUAAAAUGGUUUUACUAACUCUAACAUUAGGAUCCCAUGACCACAUUCACCCCAAAGCUGGAUAAGCCAUAGUUUUUCUUUAAAAUAGUAUUCUGGAUAGUACACACACUUGCGUGAUAACAACGAAGUGGUAUCCAUCGUACCUCUUUCAUUAUGCAUGUUUCAUCAUGAAUGAUCCUUGUUUUUACAAAUGCUCAAUGCUGAACUACCCCUGUUACUUGUUAGCAGGAUGGUUAGAACCGCUGGUCAUGGCCGUGGUGCCAAUGAUCCACCAUCGCCCGAAUUCUUUGCUAGAAUGAUGCAACAAUUUGAGCUGAACCGCCAGUUCAUGGAAGGAAUGAUGGCUCAUUUUCCUCGCCCGAACAUGAAUCAACAGCCAACCCCAGUAACUUUGCAAGACUUCAUGCGUCUCAACCCAACUAUUUACCGCAGCUCAACUCAACCCCUUGAUGCUGAUGACUGGCUCUGCGACAUCACAUAUGAAAUGGAGUCUGCUAGUGUGGCCCCUACUAGCUAUGUCACCUUUGCAUCUUUCUUUCUGAAGGGUCCCACUGCUCAAUGGUGGGAGAGCCACAUGCGUACCCUGCCUGUUGGAACGGUCAUCACCUGGCCGGAUUUCCAAGCUGCUUUUCGUGCCCGCUUCAUUCCUCAAGGAAUCAUGGACAGGAAGUGUUGGAAAUAUGCCCUAGAGGCAAUAAUAAAUUAGUUAUUAUUAUACUAUAUUUCAUUGUUCAUGAUAAUCGUUUAUUAUCCAUGCUAGAAUUGUAUUGAUAGGAAACUCAGAUACAUGUGUGGAUACAUAGACAACACCAUGUCCCUAGUAAGCCUCUAGUUGACUAGCUCGUUGAUCAAUAGAUGGUUACGGUUUCCUCACCAUGGACAAUGGAUGUCGUUGAUAAUGGGAUCACAUCAUUAGGAGAAUGAUCUGAUGGACCAGACCCAAUCCUAAGCCUAGCACAAAGAUCAUGUAGUUCAUAUGCUAAAGCUUUUCUAAUGUCAAGUAUCAUUUCCUUAGACCAUAAGAUUGUGCAAUUCCCGGAUACCGUAGGAAAGAACGCUUCCGCUUAGCGAUCUACAAGGGUAUGUAGAUGCACUCCCCUUCCCUUGUUGCUAGAUUACUCCAUAGAUUGAUCUUGGUGAUGCGUAGAAAAUUUUAAAUUUCUGCUACGUUCCCCAACAGUGGUAUCAGAGCUAGGUCUAUGCGUAGUUUCUAUGCACGAGUAGAACACAAAGCAGUUGUGGGCGUUGAUCUUGUCAAUUUACUUGCCGUUACUAGUCUUAUCUUGAUUCGGCGGCAUCGUGGGAUGAAGCGGCUCGGACCGACCUUACACGUACUCUUACGUGAGACUGGUUCCACCGACUGACAUGCACUAGUUGCAUAAGGUGGCUAGCGGGUGUCUGUCUCUCCCACUUUAGUCGGAUCGGAUUCGAUGAAAAGGGUCCUUAUGAAGGGUAAAUAUAAAUUGGCAUAUCACGUUGUGGUUUUGGCGUAGGUAAGAAACGUUCUUGCUAGAAACCUAUAGCAGCCAUGUAAAAACUUGCAACAACAAUUAGAGGACGUCUAACUUGUUUUUGCAGCAUAUGCCUUGUGAUGUGAUAUGGCCAAAAGGAUGUGAUGAAUGAUAUAUGUGAUGUAUGAGAUUGAUCAUGUUCUUGUAACAGGAAUCACGACUUGCAUGUCGAUGAGUAUGACAACCGGCAGGAGCCAUAGGAGUUGUCUUAAUUUAUUUAUGACCUGCGUGUUAACAUAAACGUCAUGUAAUUACUUUACUUUAUUGCUAAAGCGUUAGCCAUAGUAGUAGAAGUAAUAGAUGAUGAGACAACUACAAGAAGACACGAUGAUGGAGAUCAUGAUGAUGGAGAUCAUGAUGAUGGAGAUCAUGGUGUCAUGCCGGUGACAACGAUGAUCAUGGAGCCCCGAAAAUGGAGAUCAAAAGGAGCAAAAUGAUAUUGGCCAUAUCAUGUCACUAUUUGAUUGCAUGUGAUUUUUAUCAUGUUUUACAUCUUAUUUGCUUAGAACGACGAUAGCUUAAAUAAGAUGAUCCCUCACUAAAAUUUCAAGAAAGUGUUCCCCCUAACUUUGCACCGUUGCGAAGGUUAGUCGUUUUGAAGCACCACGUGAUGAUCGGAUGUGAUAGAUUCUAACAUUCUAAUACAACGGGUGUAAGCCAGAUUUACACACGCAAUACACUUAGGUUGACUUGACGAGCCUAGCAUGUACAGACAUGGCCUCGGAACACGGAAGACCGAAAGGUCGAACAUGAGUCGUAUAGAAGAUACGAUCAACAUGAGAUGUUCACCGUCGAUGACUAGUCCGUCUCACGUGAUGAUCGGACACGGCCUAGUCGAUUCGGAUCAUGUUUCACUUAGAUGACUAGAGGGAUGUCUAUCUGAGUGGGAGUUCAUUAAAUAAUUUGAUUAGAUUAACUCAAUUAUCAUGAACAUAGUCUAAAUUGUCUUUGCAAAUAUGUUGUAGACAAAUAGCUCACGUUGUAGCUCCCUGUUUCAAUACGUUCCUAGAGAAAGAUUAAGUUGAAAGAUAUUGUAAGCAAUGAUGCGGACUAGGUCCGUAGUCCGAGGAGUGUCCUCACUUCUACACAGAAGGCUUAUGUCUUUGAUGCACCGCUCGAUGUGCAAACCCCUACAACGUCGUCUGUGGAUGUUGUGAACACCUGACAGACACAUCCUGAUGACUACUUGAUAGUUUAGUGCACCAUACUUUACGGCUUAGAAUCGGGAUUCCAAUGACGUUUUGAACGCCAUAAGACAUAUGAGAUGUUCCAAGAGCUGAAAUUAGGAUUUCAGGCUCAUGCCCGUGUUGAGAGGUGUGAGACCUCUGACAAGUUCUUUAGCCAACAAGAUGGAGGAGAAUAGCUUAGCUAGUGAGCAUGUGCUCAGAAUGUCUGGGUGCUACAAUCACUUAAAUCAAGUGGGAGUUAAACUUCCAGAUAAGAUAGUGAUUGAUAGAGUUCUCUAGCCACUAUCACUAAGCUACUAGAUCUUCGUGAUGAACUAUGACAUGCAAGGGAUGGAGUUGAUCCCGAAGCUGUUCACAGUGCUUAAGACCGUAAAAGGUAGAAAUCAAGAAGGAGCAUCAAGUGUUGAUGGUUUAACAAGACCACUGGCUUCAAGAAGGGCAAGGGCUAGAAGGGAAACUUCAUGGAUGGCAAACCAGUUGCCGCUCCAGUAAAGGAACCCAAGGUUGAACCCAAACCUGAGACUAAGUGCUUCUAUUGUAAGGGGAACGGUCACUAGUAGCGGAAUUACCCCAAAUGCAUGGUAGAUAAGAAGGCUGGCAACUUCAACAAAGUAUAUACGUGUUAUUAAUGUGUACCUCGCUAGUACUCCUGGUAGCACCUGGGUAUUGGAUACCGGUUCAGUUGCUAUUACUGGUGACUUGAAGCAAAAGCUACGGACUAAACGGAGACUGGCUAAGGGCGAGGUGACGAUGUGUUUUGGAAGUGUUUCCAAAGUUGAUGAGAUCACCAUCGCACGCUCCAUCUGCCUUCGGGAUUAGUAUUGAACCUAGAUAAAUGUUAUCAGGUGUCUACGUUGAGCAUGAAUUUGAUUAGAUCAUGUUCAUUGCAAUACGGUCAUUCAUUUAAGUUAGAGAAUAAUGGUUAUUCUGUUUACAUGAAUGAUACCUUUCAUGGUCAUGCACCCUAUGUGAAUGGUUCAUUGAAUCUCGGUCGUGGUAAUACACAUGUUCACGCCAAAAGAUGUAGAGUUAAUAAUGAUAGUACCACUUUCUCGUGGCACUGCCGCUUAAGUCAUAUUGGCGUAAGAUGCAUGAAGAAACCCCAUGUCGAUGGAUGUUUGGAGUCACUUGAUUUUGAAUUGCUUGACACAUGCGAGCCAUGCCUCAUGGGCAGGAUGACUAAGACCCCGUUUUCAGGUACAAUGAAACGGGCAAGUGACUUGUUGGAGAUCAUGCAUGCUGAUGCAUGUGAUCCAAUGAGAAUUGAAGCGUGCAGUGGAUAUCGCUAUUUUCUCAUCUUCACUGACGAUUUGAGUAGAUAUAGGUAUAUCUACUUAAUGAAGCACAAGUCUGAAACGUUUGAAAAGUUCAAGCGAUUUCAGAGUGAAGUUAAGAAUCAUCAUAACAAUAAGAUCAUGUUCCUACGAUCUGAUCAAAAGGGGAUUUUCUGAGUUAUGAGUUUGGCAAUCACUUAAGACAUUGUGGAAUUGUUUCACAGUUGAAACCACCUGGAACACCACAAGGUAAUGGUGUAUCCGGACGUCGAAAUCGAACACUAUAAGAUAUGGUGCGAUCUAUGAUAUCUCUUACCAAUCUACCGUUUUCAUUUUGAGGUUAUGCGUUAGAGACAGCUGCAUUCACUUUAGAUAGGACACCAUCUAAGUCCGUUGAGACGACGUCGUAUGAACAUUGGUUUGGCAAGAAACCAAAGUUGUCGUUUCUUAAUGUUUGGGGCUGCGAUGCUUAAGGCUUCAGCCGGAGAAGCUCGAACCCAAAGCGGACAAACACAUCUUCAUAAGAUACCCAAAGGUGACAGUAGGGUAUACCUUCUAUCUCAGAUCCGAGGGCAAAUUGUUUGUCACUAAGAACGGGUCCUUUCUCGAGAAGGAGUUUCUCUUGAAAGAAUUGAGUGGGAGGAAGAUAGAACUUGAUGAGGUUGUCGAACCUUUACUUCAACCAGAGAGUGAUGCAACACAGAAAGAUGUUUUCUGUGGCGCCUACGUCUGCUGAAGAGGAAGUUAAUGAUAGUGAUCAUGAAGCUUCGGAUCAAGUUGCUAUCGAACCUCGUAGGUCGACAAGGAUAUGUACUACUCCUGAGUGGUACGGUAAUCCUGUCUUAGAUAUCAUGUUGUUAGACAACAAUGAACCUACGAGCUAUGGAGAAGCGAUGGUGGGCCUGUAUUCCGACAAAUGGUUAGAAGCCAUGAAAUCAGAGAUAGGAUCCAUGUAUCAGAACAAAGUAUGGACUUUGGUGGACUUGGCCGAUGAUCGGCAAGCCAUUGAGAAUAAAUGGAUCUUUAAGAAGAAGACGGACAUGGACGGUAAUGUUACCGUCUAUGAAGCUCGACUUGUGGGAAAUAGUCUUUUCACAAGUUCAAGGAGUUGACUACGAUGAGAAUUUCUCACCCGUAGCGAUGCUUAAGUCCGUCGGAAUCAUGAUAGCAUUAGCUGUAUUUUUCGAUUAUGAAAUCUUAUAGAUGGAUGUCAAAACAAGUUUUCUUACCAGUUUUCGUAAGAAAAGUUGUAUGUGAUACAAUAAAAGGUUUUGUCGAUCCUAAGGAUGCUAAAAGGUAUGCUGGCUCCAGCAAUCCUUCUAUGGACUAGAGCAAGCAUCUCGGAAUCGGAAUAUAUGUUUUGAUGGAGUGAUCAAAGCUUUUAGGUUUAUACAAUGUUUGCUAGAAACUUGUAUUUACAAGAAAGUGAGUGGUAGCACUACAACAUUUCUGAUAAGUAUAUGUGGAUGACAUAUUGUUGAUCCGAAAUAAUGUAGAAUUUCUGGAAAGCAUAAACGGUUGUUUGAAGAGUGUUUUUCAAAGGAAGACCUGGAUAAAGCUGCUUACAUAUUGGGCAUCAAGAUCUAUAGAGAUGGAUCAAGACGCCUAAUGGUACUUUCAAAGAACGCACACCUUGACAUGUUUUUGAAGGAGUUCAAAAUAGAUCAGUCAAAGAAGGGGUUCUUACCUGAGUUGUAAGGUGUGAAGUUGAGUAAGACUCAAAGCUUGAGCACGGCAUAAGAAAGAGAAAGGACGAAGGUCGUCCCCUAUGCUUUUGUCAUAGGCUCUAUACGGUAUGCCAUGCUGAAGUACCGCACCUGAUGUGUGCCUUGCCACAUGUCUGGUAGGAGGGUACAAAGGUGAUCUAGGAGUAAAUCACCAGAUAGCGGUCAAAAUUAUCCUUAAAGGAAUAAGGAAGUGUUUCUCGGUUAUGGAGGUGAUAAGGAGUUCGACGUAAAGAGUUACGUCGAUGCAAGCUUAACACCUAUCCGGAUAGCUCUAAGUAGAGAUACCGGAUACGUAUAAUGGAGCAACAAUUUGGAAUAGCUCCAAGUGGAAUGUGGCAGCAGCAUCUACGAUAUAAAGUUUUGCGAAAUACAUAGGGAUCUGAAUAUGGCAAGACCCGUUGACUACAACCUCUCUCACAAGCAUAACAUGAUCAAACCCAGAACUCUUUGAGUGUUUAUCACGUAGUGAUGUGAACUAGAUCAUUGAGUCUAGUAGACUCUUGGAUGUUGGUCACAUGGCGAUGUGACCUGUGAGUGUUAAUCACAUGGCGAUGUGAACUAGAUUAUUGUCUCUAGUGCAAGUGGGAGACUAUUGGAAAUAUGCCCUAGAGGCAAUAAUAAAUUAGUUAUUAUUAUAUUAUAUUUCAUUGUUCAUGAUAAUCGUUUAUUAUCCAUGCUAGAAUUGUAUUGAUAGGAAACUCAGAUACAUAUGUGGAUACAUAGACAACACCAUGUCCCUAGUAAGCCUCUAGUUGACUAGCUCAUUGAUCAAUAGAUGGUUAUGGUUUCCUGACCAUGGACAUUGGAUGUCGUUGAUAACGGGAUCACACCAUUAGGAGAAUGAUGUGAUGGACAAGACCCAAUCCUAAGCCUAGCACAAAGAUCGUGUAGUUCGUAUGCUAAAGCUUUUCUAAUGUCAAGUAUCAUUUCCUUAGACCAUGAGAUUGUGUAACUCCCGGAUACCGUAGGAAUGCUUUGGGUGUACCAAACGUCACAACGUAACUGGGUGGCUAUAAAGGUUCACUACAGGUAUCUCCGAAAGUGUCUGUUGGGUUGGCACGAGUCGAGACUGGGAUUUGUCACUCCGUGUAAACGGAGAGGUAUCUCUGGGCCCACUCCGUAGGACAUCAUCAUAAUGUGCACAAUGUGAUCAAGGAGUUGAUCACGACAUGAUGUGUUACGGAACGAGUAAAGAGACUUGCCGGUAACGAGAUUGAACAAGGUAUCGGGGUACCGACGAUCGAAUCUCGGGCAAGUAUCGUACCGAUGGACAAAGGGAAUUGUAUACGGGAUUGAUUGAAUCCUUGACAUCGUGGUUCAUCCGAUGAGAUCAUCGUGGAGCAUGUGGGAGCCAACAUGGGUAUCCAGAUCCUGCUAUUGGUUAUUGACCGGAGAGUUGUCUCGGCCAUGUCUGCAUGACUCCCGAGCCCGUAGGGUCUACACACUUAAGGUUCGAUGACGCUAGGGUUAUAGGGAAUAGAUGUACGUGGUUACCGAAUGUUGUUCGGAGUCCCGGAUGAGAUCCCGGACGUCACGAGGAGUUCCGGAAUGGUUCGGAGGUAAAGAUUUAUAUAUGGGAAGUCAUCAUACGGUCACCAGAAUAAUUCGGGGGUUACCGGUAUUGUAUCAGGACCACCGGAGGGGUUCCGAGGGUCCACUGGGAGGGUCCACCUGCCCCGGAGGGCCCUAUGGGCUGUAUGUGGAGAGGGACCAGCCCCUUAGUGGGCUGGGCACCUCCCCCCCGAGGGCCCAUGCGCCUAGGGUUUGGGGGAACCCUAAAGGGGGAGCGCCCCCCUUGCCUUGGGGGGCAAGGCAACCCCCCUUGGCCGCCGCCCCCUCCUCAAAUUGGAUCUGAGGGGGCCGGCCCCCCUCUCCCUUGCCCCUAUAUAUAUGUGGGGGUUGGGAGGGCAGCCGCACCCAAGUUCUGGCGCUGCCCUCCCCCUCUCCCAAGUCCCCCUCUUCUCCUACGGUGCUUGGCGAAGCCCUACAGGAUUACCACGCUCCUCCUUCACCACCAUGCCGUCGUGCUGCUGCUGGAUGGAGUCUUCCCCAACUUCUCCUUCUCCCCUUGCUGGAUCAAGGCGUAGGAGACGUCACCGGGCUGUACGUGUGUUGAACGCGGAUGUGCCGUCCGUUCGGCACUAGGAUCAUCGGUGAUUUGGAUCACGACGAGUACGACUCCAUCAACCCCGUUCACUUGAACGCUUCUGCUUAGCGAUCUACAAGGGUAUGUAGAUGCACUCCCCUUCCCCUCAUUGCUAGAUUACUCCAUAGAUUGAUCUUGGUGAUGCGUAGAAAAUUUUAAAUUUCUGCUACGUUCCCCAACAGGAAGAAGCGAGAUUUCCGCAACCUCACCCAAGGCAACAAUACUGUAGAUGCUUAUCAGCGGGAAUUUCUGGACUUGUCUCGUUAUGCUAAAGAAGACAUCGCAACUGAUGCUCAUAGUCAAGAAAAGUUCCGUGCUUCACCCUGAUAUUAAGCUAGCACUGCUCGCUCAUGACUUUGCCGACUUCGCCACCUUGGUGAACAAGGCUAUUCAGGUUGAGACUAGUCUUCAGGAACACCAGGGAUCACUUAGGCGCAGCCGUGACGCUGGCUCGUCUUCGGGCCCGUCAACGCAGAAGCAUCAGAUAUGGAUUCCCCACAGCAUGUAUCGUCCAGCUGCACCUGCACCAAGAUAGUCCUAUGCCGCACCUCGUCUGCCUCCUCCAUCGCAGAGGCAGCCCCUUCGGGUUGUACCACCCCAAGCUUCUACUCCCAAUCCCAAUGAUGGUCUGUGCUUCAAGUGUGGCCUUCCGAGCCAUCGUUCCAGGAACUGCCCUUAGAAUCAGAAUCAGCUAGCUCUGCCUUCUAAUGCUCGUGGUAUCAACCAACCCCGUAACCACAAUGCCAGACCUUAUGGUCAUGGUCAUGCUAAUCAUGUUGAUCUGAAUGAAGCUCAAGACCGACCUGCCACUUUGAUGGGUACUCUUCUCGUUAAUUCAGUACCGGCAUCUGUUUUAUUUGAUUCAGGGGCAUCACAUUCAUUCAUGUCAGAAAAUUUUGCAUAUGCACACGACAUUCGAUGCGAGCCCAUGAACACUCCGAUAGUGGCACGCACCCCUGUGGGUCAGUGUUGAACUACCAUGAUUGGUCGCGACGUCCCCCUUGAAAUUGAAGGGUUGGAAUUUCAUGUUUCCCCCAUUAUUCUGGAGUCUUCCAAUAUUGACCUCAUUUUGGGAAUGGAAUGGUUGAAAGCGCAUACUGCUUCUAUCGUUUGCGCCACCAAGGUUGUUCACCUCCUACAUCCUUCCGAUGAGAUAGUAAGCGACCAUGCGCAGAUUGUUCGAAACACUGAAGCACGACUUUAUGCUUUGAAUGCGUUGAACGCAGCACCUCUUGAGGGAAUUGAAAAGAUUCCAGUUGUUCGCGACUUCCUAGACGUCUUUCCAGAAGAACUUCCAGGAAUACCUCCUACUCGGGCUGUCGAGUUCAUCAUCGACUUGAAACCAAGCACCGUUCCUAUUGCCAAAUGACCCUACAAGAUGCCGCCUCAUGAACUCCUUGAACUUAAGGAGGAAAUUGACAAAUCUCUUCGCAGUGGUUUCAUUCGUCCAAGUUCCUCAGCUUGGGGAGCACCUUCUCUCUUUGUAAAGAAGAAGGAUGGAACGAAUCGUUUGGUCCAAGACUACCGUCCUAUCAACCAAGCUACAAUUCAGAACAAAUAUCCCCUUCCUCGGAUCAGUGAUCUGUAUGAUCAACUUGCUAGUUCAUCAAUAUUCUCUAAACUCGACUUGAGGUUGGGUUACCACCAGAUCCGUGUUCGUGAAGAGGAUAUUCCAAAGACCGCAUUCGUCACUCGUUAUGGUUCUUAUGAGUACACCGUCAUGUCUUUUGGCUUGAGCAAUGCUCCAGCCACAUUCUCUCGUCUGAUGAACUACAUAUUCAUGGAUUACCUCGACAAGUUCGUCGUAGUCUAUCUGGAUGAUAUUCUGGUAUAUUCGAAGAACAAAGAAGAACAUGCUGAACAUCUUCAACUUGUUCUAGAGAAGCUUCGAGAACAUCAACUUUAUGCCAAGUAUUCCAAGUGCGAAUUCUUGUUACCCGAAGUCACCUACCUUGGUCAUGUCAUCUCCAAAGAUGGUAUUGCCGUCAACCCAGAGUGCGUUCAGGCUGUUCUUGACUGGACCCCUCCGAAGACUGUCAAGCAAGUCAGAAGCUUUCUCAGACUUGCCAGUUAUUGCUGCCGUUUCGUCGAGAACUUCUCCAAGAUUGCCAAGCCACUGACCAACUGCUACACAAAGGCGUUAAGUUUGAUUGGACUGAAAAGUGUCAGGAAAGUUUCCAGGCACUCAAGGACAAGCUGACUUCUGCCCCAGUGCUUGCUCCCCCUGAUUCUCGCAAGGACUUUGUCAUCUAUUGCGACGCUUCACGUCAAGGAUUAGGCUGUGUCCUAAUGCAAGAGCGCAGGGUGAUUGCUUAUGCCUCCCGUCAAGUAUGUCCUCACGAAGAGAACUACCCAGUUCAUGACCUUGAGCUUGCUGCGGUUAUGUAUGCAUUGAAGCUAUGGCGACAGUACCUUCUCGAUAAUCGUUGCAAGAUCUUCACCGAUCAUCAGAGUCUGAAGUACCUGUUUACUCAGGCAUAUCUGAACCUCCGCCAACAGUGAUGGAUGGAAGCUAUUGCUGACUACAACUGCGGUAUAUCCUAUACCCCUGGCAAGGCUAAUGUAAUGGCCGAUGCCUUGAGCCGUAAGUCUUAUUGCAACAAUUACAUGGUUUUCAAAGCUCAACCCCAUCUUUAUGAAGAGCUAUGCAAGCUGAACCUCCAACUAGUUCCACAGGGUACUCUGAAUAACCUUGUCUUGGAACCAACUCUUCUGAAAGCAAUUAAGUCUGCUCAAGCCAAAGAUGCUCAUGUUGAUCUGAUGAAAAAGGAUCUUGCCUUAGAGAAAUCAAGAGAUUUCUCACUUGGUGAAGAUGGAACAUUAUACUUAAGAGAUCGCAUUGUCGUACCCCGGUUCGAGCUUAUGACAGAGAAGGUGAUGAAAGAAGCGCAUGACACCCCUCUCUCUAUUCAUCCGGGAAGUACCAAGAUGUACUUAGACAUUCGUUAGAAGUAUUGGUGGUCCAAGAUGAAGCAAGAUAUUGCUCGGUAUAUCGAAGAAUGUGACGUUUGUCGUCGCGUCAAAGAAGAACAUCAGAAACCGGCUGGACUUCUACAACCGCUUCCGAUUCCUGAAUGGAAGUGGGAUAAGAUUCAGAUGGACUUCGUCAUUGGCCUUCCCAAGUCUCAGAAAGGUAACGAUGCUAUCUUUGUCGUCAUCGACCAAUUAUCGAAGGUUGCUCACUUUGUACCAGUCAAGGAGACUAUCACUGCUAGUCAAUUAGCAAGCUUGUAUAUCUCCCGAAUUGUGUCACUCCACGGUAUUCCGAAGGAGAUCAGUUCAGACCGUGGCAGUUUAUUCACUUCGAAAUUCUGGGAUAGUUUCCAAGAGGCAAUGGGAACUCAUAUUACCUGGAGCACUGCUUAUCAUCCCCAAUCCCAAGGCCAAGUCGAGCGAGUCAAUCAAAUUCUUGCAGACAUGCUUCGGGCUUGUGUUAUUUCUUUCGGUAAGAAGUGGGAAGAAUCUCUCCCUUAUGCAGAGUUCUCUUAUAACAACAGCUAUCAAGCCAGCUUGAAGAUGGCACCCUUCAAAGUGCUUUAUGGACGUAAGUGCCGAGCCCCUCUGAAUUGGUCAGAAACUGGGGAACGGACGCUCAUUGGUCCAGACAUUAUUCAACAAGCUGAAGAGCAUGUUCGCAUUGUACGGGAUAAUCUCAAGGCGGCCCAGUCCCGCCAAAAGAGCAACUAUGACCGAAAACACUGGGGUUCAACUUAUCAACCUGGUGAACAAGCUUAUCUGCGUGUCACUCCUUUGAGAGGCACUCAUCGGUUCGGAGUCAAGGGCAAGCUAUCUCCGCGCUACAUUGGUCCCUUCCGCAUCCUCGCCCGUCGUGGACUGGUGGCUUAUCAACUGGAGUUGCCACCUCAGUUCUCUCAUGUUCAUGAUGUCUUCCAUGUGUCGCAACUUCGUCAAUGCUUCAAGGAUCCAGAAUGUGAAGUGGAUCCGGAAUUGAUUGAAGUUCAAGAUGAUCUCACAUACAAAGAGCAUCCUAUCCGCAUUCUUGAAGAGGCUGAACGUCGAACCCGCCAGAAGGUUACCAAGUUUCUCAAGGUGCAAUGGUCGAAUCAUACUAAAGAUGAAGCCACUUGGGAACGCGAAGAUAACCUCCGGGCUGAAUACCCCGACCUAUUCCCUUCUACCUCUUAAUUCUCGGGACGAGAAUUUCUUUUAGAAGAGGAGAGUUGUAACACCCCGGCAUAAUGAUGCUACAGUAAUCCCAGAGAUCAAGUUAAUCAUUUUGCUAUAACAGUGCUUAGCCACUUUAAUCAAUAUUUCAUUGCAAAUUCCAGUUGAAUUCAAUCUCAAAUUGUGUGUGAAUUUCAAAAAAAUACUCAAACAUGAAAACUAAAAUGUUCAUCAUGUGUAAAAUAUUCUCCUGGUAAUAUUGGUGGUGAACCAACUUUUUUGCAAAAUGCCUAUGUGGCCUAAAAUAGCUAAAACAGAAAAGCUUAAAAAAAGAAAAAGAAAAGGAGAAAAGGGAGAGGAAGGAGAAAUGCCCCCUCCCCCACUAAUUCCCCUAGGCCUCGGCCCACCCCUCCACCCGAGCCAGCCCACCUAACCCCCCACGGCCCAACUCCCUGCACCGGUUGCCUCCCCCUCCUUCCUGUUCCUCGGACUCGGCCGCUACAGGGCGCUCCCGCCCACGGUCGGCGCUGCACAACCUUGUCGACGAUGCGGGAGAGGACAAGGCCGCCCUGACACCUCGGCCUCCACCCAUCUCUUCCACUUGCUCCCUCUCUCUCCGCCUCUCCCUCUCCCCACCAGCUCUCCUCUCCUCUCGCUCGCUCGCUCCUCCCCCCUCUGCCCGAGCGCGCCCGCCACCGUGCCUCGCCCGGCCUCGCGGCAACCGAGCCCCGUUCGCCUCACCGUCGUGCCCAUCGUCUCCGCCGUCGUCGUCUACCCCGUCCACGUUCAUGAGUGCGAGCCGGGAGCCACUGCAGCGAGCCUGGCAACCUCUUCUUCCCCUAUGGCCGUCUUCACCUUCGUUGCUGAUUCAUCGCCGUCGAUCUUCCCCGAGCCCACCUGAGCCCACCUACAAGGCCAACGUGAGCAUGCGCCUCUUUCCCCUCUCUUCCCCGCGCGUUUCCGGCGCCGUAGCUCCUUCUCCCCAUCGUGCCCGAACGCGGCUCCGCGCGAGCUCAUCGCCGGCGUAGCCACGGCGACCAUAGGGUCCAGUGCGUGCCACCAUCACGCUCACCACACCGCGUAGGCCUCGUCUAGACGCUUGGGUUGCCCGCAAACGCACCCCAGCCCCAUUCCCGACGAUGAUCGAAGUCCGGCGUCUGCCUCGCCGCUGGCCGUCGACGUUCCUGACCACCGCAGCCUCUGCCACUACCCCAGAUCGCCUCGUCAUCGUCUUCUUGUUCGAACGAGCCCGGCCGCGCUGAAAACGGUGUCCUGUAUCACCAUCCUCGUCGUCGUCCAAGCGCGACAGCCGCCCUCGCUGCUCGUCGGCGCCGCUCCGGCCAACUCCGGCGACGCCACCGCCCCCAGUCGACGCGCCGUCGUGCGCGUGUUCGAACGGUGCCAACCGCACGUGAAACGGCCGCCCCUAGCACGUUUCCAAUGAGGCCCGGGUGCCCCCGCCAUGUUCUGACGUCACCGGUGGCGAAACGCCGGCCGCCAUCUAUGUGGUUGGCCUGGGGCCACCCCAGUGCAACUGCUAGUGGGCCCCACGGGUCCCAGUUAACUGGGUUGACCCAGUCAACUGCUGACCAGGCAGCCAGUGCCACUGACACACGGGCCCCACCAUCUGUUUUAAUUAAUUAAAAUGUUUUAAAUAUCUAAAACCUAAUUAGUUACUAAUUAGAGACUGACAUGUGGGGCCCAGUAGCUAUUUAAGCUCAGUUUAGUUUAAUAUAAACUCUGUUAAUUACAAUGGCUGACAUGUGGGCACUACAUGUAUGGUUUGACUGGUCAGCCGACCUGUUGACCUGCUGAUGUCAGCAUUGCAUCAUGCUGAUGUCAUAUUUCCCUUUCUGUUAAUUUAAAUAAUUCCAGGAUAUUGUUUAAAUCUUUAGAAAUUCAUAGAAAUUAAACCGUAGCUCGGAUGAAAAUGUUUUCUAUAUGAAAGUUGCUCAGAAAAAUCCAACAAAUCCAAAUGCGCGGUCCAUUCACCUGUCACAUGCCCCUAGCAUGCUGAACAUGGAACCUUCCCCUCUCUUUCAUCUGUCUGGAAUCCGCCUAACGCCUGGAAUUCAUCCUCGGAUGUUUAUCCCCUCCGUCUGCAACAUGUAGUACUACGUUAGGGCAACCCUAGCUCUGCCCGUCGUCAUGUUAUGCCUUGUGAUGCAUUGUUUGCUCUGUAUUUACUUUUUCUUCCCCCUCUUCUCUCUGGUAGACCCCGAGACCGAUGAUGCCGCUAUGAUCGACUACAUCACCGACGACCCCUCCUUCUUGUCUGAGCAACCAGGCAAGCAAACCCCCCUUGAGCAUUCCGAUAUCGCCUAUUUCUUUCCCUCUCAUGCUUGGAUUAGAACUGCUACUGCUUUCUUUAUGAUCCUACUCUGAUGCAUAGCCUGUUGUUGUUACCUGCUUUUAUACCUUACCUGCUUAUCCUAAACUGUUUAGUAUAGGUUGAUUAGUGAUCCAUCAGUGACCCCCACCUUGUCCCAGUUGCCCUGCUUUAUGUUCGAUGACUCGAUCAACGUGAUCGACGUCCAGGCCCCGACACCGCACAUCACCCCCUAGUUGUACGACUCUACAGAGUUACCAUCGAGUGCCGGGGGUGGAACCUCAUACAUCACUCCUGAUGAGACCUCUGUAGUGUAGCUAAUCGGUCGUGGUCAUCGAGGGUGAUUUCCUCCUUAACCACUUCCGAUACGGCUCUGUCGUGCAACCCCUCAAGUGUGAACCUCGAGGGGGGAUUGAGGGAGUCCUGGAUUAGGGGGUGUUCGGGUAGUCGGACUAUACUUUCAGCUGGACUCCUGGACUAUGAAGAUACAAGAUUGAAGACUUCGUCCUGUGUCCGGAUGGGACUUUCCUUGGCGUGGAAGGCAAGCUUGGCGAUGCGGAUAUUCAAGAUCUCCUACCAUUGUAACCGACUCUAUGUAACCCUAACCCUAUCCGGUGUCUAUAUAAACCGGAGGGUUGUAGUCCGUAGGCAAUCAACUCCAUAUACAACAAUCACACCGUAGGCUAGCUUCUAGGGUUUAGCCUCCUUGAUCUCGUGGUAGAUCUACUCUUGUACUACCCAUAUCAUCAAUAUUAAUCAAGCAGGACGUAGGGUUUUACCUCCAUCAAGAGGGCCCGAACCUGGGUAAAACAUCAUGUUCCCUGCCUCCUGUUACCAUCCGACCUAGACGCACAGUUCGGGACCCCCUACCCGAGAUCCGCCGGUUUUGACACCGACAUUGGUGUUUUAUUGAGAGUUCCUCUAUGUCGUCGCCUUUAGGCCCGAUGGCUCCUUUGAUCAUCAACAACGAUACGGUCCAGGGUGAGACUUUUGUCCCCGGACAGAUCCUCGUCUUCGGCGGCUUCGCUCUGCGGGCCAAUUCGCUCGGCCACCUGGAGCAGAUCGAAAGCUACGCCCCUGGCCAUCAAGUCAGGUUUGGAAGCUUAAACUACAUGGCUGACAUCCGCGGAGACUUGAUCUUCGACGGGUUCGAGCCACGGCCAAGCGCGCCGCACUAUCUCGAGGGGCAUGAUCUAGCUCUACCUCCGGACAGUGUCCUGGAGGCCGCACACGCAUCAGUUCCGACCCCUAACUCGGAGCCUAUUGCGCCAAUCGAGGAUGAGCGGUUGGACGUCACCUCGGGGGCUUCGAUCUCAAAGGCGAUCGAGCCGAACGCUAGCCCCGCACUCGGCAUGAUCCGUGACUCUGAGGAUCCGGACUCCUUUCUGAACUCCGAACCCCCCGCGCCCCUGCCGAUCGAAUCCGAUUGGGCUCCGAUAAUGGAGUUCACCGCCGCAGACAUCUUUCAGCACUCGCCUUGUGGAGAUAUCCUGAACUCUCUCAAGUCUCUCUCCUUAUCAAGAGAGCCUUGGCCGAACUACGGUCAGCGAGGAUGGGAUACGGACGAUGAAGAAAUUCAAAGCCCACCUACCACCCACUUGGUAGCCAUUGUCGACAAUUUAAACGACGUGCUCAACUUCGACUCCGGAGACAUCGACAGCAUGGAUGACGAUGCAGGAGAUACCGACGAACCAACGCCCAUAGGGCAUUGGACAGCCACCUCAUCUCACGAUGUGUACAUGGUGGAUACCGCUAAAGGAAGUGACACCGAGGAAAAAGGGGAUGGGACGGGAGAUCGACCCCCCGAAAAGCAAUCAAAGCAUCGGCGUAAACGCCGACCCAAGCCCCGCCUCGACAAAAACCCAGCCAUAGAGCAGGACGAGCCGGUAGACGACGAGCAGGCCUUAGAGCAACCGUCCGAACAGGGCAACACGGAUAGAGAAACCAAACAUCCCUCCUCCGGCGAAAACGGCAUUCUGGACGACCUCACGCCGAAUAAACCUAUGGAGCAGAAGAAUCUCCACGAGAGGCUCAUUGCAACUGCACAAAGCCUAAAAAAGCAGAAGCGGAAGCUAAAAACAACGGAAGAUGCUCUCCAGAUUAAAUGUAGCAAAGUAAUCAAUACCACAGAUAAAUACGGCGACAGUCGCCGCACUAAAAGCUAUCCGAAAAGAAAGCUACUGCCUGAAUUCGACGAAGAGGCCCUAGAGCCCUCGCAUUCAAAAAAUGAAAAAGCCACACGGUCGGAUAGACGACCCCAUAAAGCCGCAAGUGGCGCCGCACCUAAAUCGGCAUGCGACCCACUUAAGGAUUCGCAUCAUGGCCCAGUCAGGUCCAUUUAUGGGCCAAGAAAGCAAGCUCUCGUAAGCAACGCUAUGAAGCCAUCAUCAGAAUCUGGUACACCCAAAUACAGGGGCGCCGCACACCCCCUAUGUUUCACCGAUGAGGUCCUGGACUAUGAAUUUCCAGAGGGAUUCAAACCCGUAAACAUAGAGGCAUAUGAUGGAACAACAGACCCUGGAGUUUGGAUCGAGGAUUAUAUCCUCCACAUACACAUGGCUAGAGGAGAUGAUCUCCACGCCAUAAAAUAUUUACCCCUUAAGCUUAAAGGGCCAGCCCGGCAUUGGCUUAAAAGCCUUCCCGAAAACACAAUUGGAAGCUGGGAAGAGCUCGAGGAUGCUUUCCGAGCAAACUUUCAAGGGACCUAUGUCCGCCCUCCAGAUGCAGACGAUCUUAGUCACAUAACUCAACAACCCGGAGAAUCAGCUCGGCAGUUCUGGAAUAGAUUCCUCACUAAAAAGAAUCAGAUUGUCGACUGUCCGGACGCCGAAGCCUUAGCAGCUUUCAGGCACAACGUCCGAGACGAAUGGCUCGCCAGACACCUUGGCCAAGAAAAGCCAAGAACAAUGGCCGCACUAACAAGCCUCAUGACCCGCUUUUGUGCAGGGGAGGAUAGCUGGUUGGCAAGGUGCAGCCCCAGCGACCCAAGUACAUCCGAAACUAGGGAUGGAAACGGAAAACCGCGACGCAACAAGGACCGUCGCUGGACUAAGGACAAAAGUCCGAAUAGCACGGCAGUCAAUGCCGGAUUCAAAGGCUCACGACAAAAUCAGGCAAAAUCGCCCCCAGGACAACAGGGACGAUCCAUCCAACCUAAAUAAAAUCCUGGACAGGAUAUGUCAGAUACACAGUACUCCCGGGAAGCCUGCUAACCAUACCCACAGAGACUGUUGGGUUUUCAAACAAUCCGGCAGACUCAAUGCCAAACACAAGGGGCUCGACACACCAAGCGAAGACGAGGACGAACCCCAAAAGCAGAGCACCAGGAAACAAAAGAACUUCCCACAAGAAGUAAAAACAGUGAAGUCACUUCACAUAACAAAACAUGCGGCGCCCGUAAAGGUACGCACCACACGACCCAUCCCCAAAGGGUCCUGCCACUGGUUGUCAAAACCGAUCAUCUUCGAUCAGCUAGAUUAUUCUAGAAAUACCAAGAAUGUAGGCUGGACUGCCUUGAUACUCGAUCCAAUAAUUGGUGGACUCCAGUUUUCAAAUGUCCUUAUGGACGGCGGCAGUGGACUAAACCUGAUGUAUCAGGAUACAAUCCAGCACAUGAGGAUAAACCCAGCAAGAAUCCGCCGCAGCAAAACCUCCUUUCAAGGGGUAAUACCCGGUCCGGACACCCAUUGUAUGGGUUUCCUCUGGCUCGAAGUCAUAUUCGGCUCUGCCGAUAACCUCCGCCGCGAAAAGCUAACCUUCCAUAUCGUCCUAUUCUCAAGUCGCUAUCAAGCACUACUGGGACGCGAAGCUUUCGCUCGCUUUAACGCAAUACCGCAAUAUGCAUCUCUUACGCUUAAGAUGCCCGGUCCACAAGGCAUCAUCUCUUUGAAGGGGAAGCACUAAAGUGCACCUCCCCAAGCGGAGGACUGUGCGGCCGCUUUGACAGCCCCACAGCAAAAUGGCCUCACCAGCCAAAAAACUUCGAAAUAGGUCAUUCAAGACCAUGAACGCGGAUAGACGAGUUCGGUGCAAAAUCAUCAUUGAUGCAGGCCUAGAAGCCAUAUACCCCCGCACUAGGGGCUCCACGCAUAUACAAUAAGAGACAAUAAAACUCAAUCUUAUAUAUUUUACUUUAUACUUUGCUUAUUUUAAACUUUUUCGGCAUGACCCGUUUUCAACUCAGUUCCUCUCUUUUACAGAUGAACGUCGUGCGGCGCCCGUCCAGGAUACGGCACAACGGAGACACAGGCGCAAACGUGCAGUAGGGACCUGUCCUAAAGGAUUCUUUUUAGAUUAAGACCAUGCGUAAACCUUUUUUACUGUCUCUUGUUGCUACACAUCCCCUAGUUUUUUCUUUCUGAUAUAACCAAGGAGGAGGCUGGCGUCUUGGCAUGUGGCCAUGUCAGAAUUUUUGCACGUACCUGGACACUAGGGGCUUUUUUUAGUGUUGUUUCGCCCGCACUCAUAAAGACCGAACACCUUAGGGAGUGUUCGGCGUCGCGAUUUUUGGCAUUAUAUGCAUCAGCUCUGAAUCAUGUCUUUGGUCAAAUGUUGGGUUGCCCGGCUCCUGAGUUUGGCUACCUUACGUUCCGCUCUAUCGGCUAAGGUAGCACCAGGAGAACUACUGCGAUUGUGCCCCGAUUCGGCCGGGCGAGCACCUCAGUAGAGAAAGCCGAAAACUGACUGUCAUGAUGUAGCGUGAGACUGGUCAGCCACUCGAUGACCUAUCGGAAUCUAUCGGAUUCCUCCGCUUUAACGAAGGGCCGCUUCCCGGUCAGGCACAUACGCGCCCCGAACUCGGACGAGCGCAGUUGCCACCAAGGGGCUACCUAAAUAGUCUCACUGUCAAACUCCUAUGGCUAAGUGAAAGUGUUAAAGCAUUAUAGUCCGGUUUCCUGGCCCGCUGCGCUAUCACCUCCUUUGUAGGACCAAGACGUUGGGUUAAGUGUGAAAAUGCGUCUUCUGCGAGCACCCCCGCACUAUGUGCGUG
rnacentral:lncRNA from 1 species